UUAUUUUACGUUAUCCUACUAUAUUAUUGAAGUGUUGACAUACAUAUAUUAAAAAAUAAAGUUCCAAGACCUAUAAUUUAAGAUAUAAUGACGAUAAUUAGGAUUUAAUAAUUACGUUUGGAUAUUUUCUAGAAUUUUUCUUCUGUAUUUAUUUUGCAAAAUAUUUUCUAAUAGCUUUAUUAACAUUUAAUUUUUUUAUACAUUUAUUUUGCAAAAUAUUUUCUACGAAUUUAAUCAGCCAAAUUUUUUUCUUUUUCUUUGAUUUUUUUAUAAUUUUUUCCAACAUUUAUUUUGCAAAAUAUUUUCUAAAAAUUUAAUUAUCUUAUUAUCUUUACAGUAUAAUAUAUAGUCUCAAAAAACUUAUACUUUUAAAUUGCAAAUUGUCAGUUUUAAUUUUUAAUUUUUAAAUUCCAAGACUCAAAUUUUAAAUUCUAAAAUACUAAAUUUUAAAUUUUUAGCCUAAAAUUCAGGGCGAAAUUUAAUUUUGAAAUUUUAUAAUUCAAAAACUUUAACACUUAAAAUUUAAAUUUUAAAAUUCAAAAUUUUAAAUUUUAACUUAAAGUUCAUUGUAAAAUUUAAAUUUUAAAAUUUUAAGUUUAUAGUUUUAAAUUUUAAAAUUUUGACAUGUAAAAGUUUAAAAUUUUAAAAUGGAAAAUUAUACAUCUUAAUUUUUAAUUUACAAAUUUUAAAUUUUUAGAAAAUAAAAUUUAUUUUUUUAAUUUCAAUUUUGAAUUUUGAAUUUUAAAUUUUAUUUGUUAAAUUUUAAAUAUUAGAAUUUAAAUUUUAAAUAUUAAAAUUUGAAAUUAAAAUUAAAAUUAAAAUUUAGAUUAAAAAAGAAAAGUGUGUCGGCUUUAUUUUUUGUGUCGCUUUAUUUUUUGUCAUGGACUCAAGUGCCCCCACCUAGGCUACAAUACAUUUAUCUUACAAGAUGUUUUCUUAAAAGCUUACUUAUUUUAUUAUUUGGAAGUUGUUGCUAUAUAAGCCCUUCCAUCAACAACAACAUCACACAUACUCAUUUCUAAAAAAAAAAAUAUCAUACAUACUCGUGCUUCCUCCCACCUCUCUUCCUCCCACCUCUCCAACCCCUAGUCGUUCCAUCCUCCCAGGCUCCUACUUCGUGCUUCCUCCCACCUCUCCAACCCCUAGUCGUUCAUCCGGACCUCUUGAGCGCUCCUAGUAUGGAUGCAGAUGAUAAUAGAAAAAUAUUACACAUUUUUAAAUAUUACAAUAAUUUUUUUAUUUAUCUUAAAUUGAUUUUUUUUAUUUUAGUUACUUGGUUUAGAUAUUUUUAGUGAAAAAUAUUGUAAACCCUAAAGAAGGCCUUCUCUUAUUUUUCGGGGGUUGUGCGGCUUAUGUAUAAUUUUUUAAGAAUUAUUUGCACAUUGGUCCUCAAUUUUUUCACUAUUUUUUAUUUUGAUUCUCUUCGCAUUCAACGAUCUGCAAAGCGUGGGAGAAGGUGACAUUUAUGGAAGAUCCAGAAGUAUCGAGACAAAUACGCUCCAAGAAGGCUAGUAAAAUAAGCAACCUGAUUCUUUUUGGUUUCUAGAUACGCUGGUUAUCCAAUUUGUGAAUUUCCGCUGGCCUCUAAUUCCAACAAUUGGUAUCAGAAUCGUUUUGCUUGCUUUCACCUUAUGAUCAUACCUGUGAUGCUUAUUUUGUAUGUAUGAUUCAUUGAUCAAUUUUUAUAUAUAGAUCUAUUAUACAAUUUUUUUUUAUUCAUUUCCUAUGUGAAAUUAUUUUUUUUUUAAAAAAAGCUACUUAGUUUUAAUUUUCUUCCAAGUUGAUCAUGAGACAAGCAAAAAAAACAUACAUUAGUUAUAUAUAUAUUUUUUUUUUCUUUCUACUUUGUGCAUUAAAAAAAAAUAAAAAAAUUACAUCUCUUGUUCUGUUUUUAAUCUUUUUUGCUUGUGUAUCAACUGCAAGGGUAGCUGUGCAAUACGGGCGGGCGAUAGACCAGCACGCGGGCGCGGCCCGGCCCGCUGCAGGCACACGGGAGUGGACUCGCGUGCCUAAUGCGGGCACCAGGCUCGGCCCAGCCCAUGCCUGAACGCGAGCUUACGAGCUACGUCCCGCAUCUGCUAGACUCGGCCCUGCCUACGCUCAGGCGGCGGUUUAUUAUUAUUUAUUUAUUUAUCUUUACUCAUUAAAAAAAUUCUAUAAUUUUUUAAUGUUCCUAUGGGGUGCAAAUUUUUCUGUGUGGUACAUAUUUUUUUAUACUUGUGUAGGAUGCAUGUAUUGCUUAUCCUAUGUGAAUGAAAAUGUUAAUACUUGUGUAGCAUAUUGUGAUUAUAUGAUUGUGUGUUUUUUGGCACAUAAGUAUUUGUGUUUUGUCCGUGUUUUCAACAAAAUUUAAUUUUAUAAAAACUGGGUUCGAUGUGUGCAGCAUUCUUGUAGAAUUUUUUUUUUUUUCAAAUGUACAUUUUUAUAGUGAUGUAAUAGAUUUUAUUCUACAAAUGUAAUGUAACAAUCAAGGCCAUAUAAAGAAAUAUGUUUUGCACAGCGUCGACAUUUUUCAAAUUAAAUUUUGGUAUAAAUAUUUAUAUUUUAUUUGUGUGAUGAUAUUAUAGAGAUAAUGUGAUAUAUUGAACCUUAGCAAAUUGGCAAUGUUACAGUAUAAGUUUAUGCUUGAUUGAGUUGAAAACGUUUUGCUCAAAAUUGACGUAAAAACGGACUUUGAAACUCAAAAUUUAUAUUAUGGAGGACUAAAGUUGAAUACCUAGUUAUAUAGGGCCUUGUGGGCAAUUGUGUUUAAUUAGGCGGUGGAGUCCACGUGCUCCUAUCCUUAUCCUCUUUUUUUUUUGUUUGUUGCUUUAUAUUGCCAAGUUUGAGCUAAUUAAUUAGCAGGGACUUGGUUUCAUUCUUACGAGCGAGCGAGCAAGCGAGUCGAGUGCGUGCGUCGCGGUUGCGCCGUUCGAGGCUAGGCGAGUAUGACACCCCAAUAGUCCCACAUCAGAUGGGAAUGGGGUUGUCAUUGGGUUUAUAAGAGACUUAGACACUGGUAAUAAUAACUGGGCUUAAGCAUUUUGGGCCGGUUGUUUGGCCCAACGAGUUAUUAUUGCUAGUGGGCUGGGUCGUUACAGCGAGCGCGUGUUUUCCUCUCUUUUCGACUUCUCACCGUUGUGGAUUAGCGUUCAAGGUAGGUUAAUAAUAUGCAUAACGGAUUCUACGGAUUUCCUCCUAAGCCUAUAUGUAACAGCAUGUAUUUUUUCGCUUUGUAUAGUAUGUUUUAGUUGCUCGAUUCGUUGAUUUACUGUGUUUCUAAAUCAGAAUUGGAGCUUAAAAUAUUAGUUAAAUUAUACAUGUUGGACUUGGAAUUGACUUAGAAGAAAACUAGCGAUUCUACACCGUUAUAUGUUAAAACUACCAGAUUUAGCUUUAGGAGCUGUAGUUUGUUUGUAUCACCGCAGGUUGUGGACGGUGGAUACUUAUAUUAGUGUAGAAUGCAUUUAUACUCGUGCUGCGAUGCUGAGCUGGAGUAAUCUUCAACUGUAGGUUUUGCACUGUCAUUUCUAAAAACUAUCAGAUAGCUCCUUAAGCUGUUGUGCUUUGUAUCCACGCUGUUAGUGCGCAUUUGAUACUGAGAUAGCUUCUGAAGCUGUUGCAUUUCGUAUCCACGCUGUUAGUGCGCAUUUGAUACUCGGAUAGCUUCUGAAGCUGUUGCGGUUCAUAUCCACGCUGUUAGUGUGCAUUUGAUACGUGGAUAGCUUAGGAGCUGUAGUUUGCUUAUAUCGCCACAGUCUAUUGGCGGUGGACACACAGGAUAGUGUAGAAUAUAUUUACACUCAUGCUGAGAUGCCAAGCUUAAUUUUUACUGCAGUGUUUAGGCUAUUCCGGACUGUCGGGUGCCGUUGAGGUUGACGGUGGACCCAGAUUAUUAUUUUUGCAUCAGAUUAUGCCGAGGGCACGUGAGUUUGGUUGUUAGACCCUGUUUACUUGACUAUAGCCUGUGAGAGCCUGAUUGAGCUUGACAGAGAUACGCUUGCAUACUCGGUUAGGUAGCGCCCACGAGUGCCACUCCGGAGUCGGGCUUUGUGCGUUUGCAUUGGUGUCGUUGCGUCCUGAUUGGACUUGCUCUCCACGAAUGUCCUAUUGUGGAGGUAGUUGUGUAGCUUCAACAGGCGGGACGGAUGAGUUCACAGUCCCUAGCGAGAUUGGGUCAAGAUUUGUAUUUUUUACAGAUAGUUAGUGUUGGAUAGUGAUAGUAUAGUGGCAUAUAGCUAUAAAUUUGUUCCAGCUUCCUUUACUAUCUUUGAACAUACAUCUGUAGACUUAGUGGGUGAGCCAUUGAGGUCGGUAGCGGUACCCACUGAGGACUACUUCCUUUUGCAGUAGUUCUCACGCCCAGUUGUGGAUCUUUUGGAGAGCCUUCUUCUUCGACUGCUGCUGUCGCGGAGACAGAUCGUCGAAAGAGAGUCGCGAGUUAGAUCCCUUCCCAGUUGGUGUUGAUCUAGAAUAUACCAGCUACAGGUAGUUGUAGUUUUGUCAUGCCCCGAGUCCGAUUCUUUUGGCCGGUUCGAGCGUGUCGAACAAACGCCAAACGGACAGAGCCUCCCCUGUCGGCCCAAGACUCAACAACAAGUAUCAAUAGAGUAAAAUUUUGCACAUACGGAAGCAAACACAAUGGCUUACACGAGGACAAGCAAUAGCCAAUAGUGAAAGUAAUAAACUACACAUAUGAAAUCAUUUACAUUUUUGCAUCAUUUCUUCUCUUUUACAUCACAUGAUAUCUCAAAAUAUAAACUUUGCAUUGAAACAUAAACCCUUUUUACACCAUUCAUUUAACAUGUUCAUAAUACUAAAAUCAUCAAAAUACAAAAGAUGAUAACUAAAGGGUAUGCAACUAAACCAAAAUGUGAAACCAACUCAGGUGUUCUCUAACUAUGGCGCGAUACCUUUACAGCGAUCGUCCGCUGGUUCGCUCGAUUCCGGCUCUGUGGAAAUAGUGGGGUGAGAACUACAACAAAGUUCCCAGUGGGUUCGGCAACCGACCACGUCGACUUUCCCACUGGGUCUAAAUCAGACAUAAUAGAAGAAAAGAGAUAGAGAUAGGAACCAAACUAUACAAAUGCAGCUAAUAUGCCUGAACAAUAAAUAAUGCAAUGCUCAAUAGUAUGCUCAUGAUGAAUGCAAGGUCAUAAUAUCAUUGCUCAAUCUCUUGCUAACCCGUAGGUUUCGCCCUUAACAACUCACCAACUCAAAUCCCAGUAUCGGGGAGGCUACUACACCCGACGGGACCGUCCUCUGGGGAGGCUACUACACAGUGAUGAUAACUCCGGAGCACAUCGCCUGAGGGGGAGCUACCACCCUCGAGUAAUGACUUACAGGUGAGUAUGAUUCAAUCCUUAACUAUAAGGAUGUCAAGUUCAAUCCAUUCCUUAACUAUAAGGAAACAAUACACAUAUGACCCUUAACUCUCAGGUUAUUAUGUCAUAAUGUCGCUAUCACACUUUUACUUGCAUUCUUUUACUUUCACUAGUGUUAUAUACACUACUAUAUUCUUGUACACAUGCCACACUUAUUUUCUAAGUGUUCCAACUCUAGCAUUCUCGACUCAUCAUUGUCACUUUCUACUUCUAUGUCAAGAUGUCACAUUUGUUUACUAAGUCCACUAAGUUCUUGUCACUUGUCAUGCAUAAAAGGGUUUAUAAAAUUCUCACAUUCUUGCUAAUAACUCGCAUGCAUUUGUACUCAAAACAUGCAAUGAAAUGCUCACAUAUAACCCUACUAUGCAAUUUUAUGCUUAAUACACAUAUACUCAAAUAUUACACUUUAGACAUAAAAGGAAUUUCGAGGUCCUCGGUAUGCACCACUUACCUUAGAUGGUUCAGAGGAUGCUACGGUGAAUUUCUCGGGAUUUUUGAAGCCCUACUUUUUCGCCUGCGGCAAAACGAAGCCAAAUUAGGCUUUUUCUCAAUAACUUUAUCUAGACCUUUUCAUAACGUCAAACGGAGUUGCCCCAAGCGUCGGGGAUACCCCCAAUUAGGUUUCUAUAAGGUCAAUUUGCCUUAGAAACUUUCGGAGGCAAAAACCCCAAAUUUAGUGCCCUAAUCCCACUAUUGGCUCAAACCUAGGUUUUGAUCUCUAAAACAAGCAAAAGAGAGUUUGUCCAACACCUAGAAGUUCAUCUAGAACUAUCCAAACGAAUUCUAGGGCUUAGAAUGCAAGCACUAAAAAUCCACCAUUAGAGCACUUUGAAGAAACUAGGGUUUCAUGUGUUCUAUAGCUCCAACUAGGUUGCUAUACUCAUUAGAAGAUCAAAACCUAAUUUUUUAAGACAUAAACCCAAACCCUAGAUGAGCUUUUACCUUAAAACUCACCUUAGCCAAAAGCUAUCCCUAAGUCCACCUUGUAGGAGAGCCCUAGGUCUUCUCCAAGCCACCAAAAUCAAGCUUCUCCUUCAAAUCCCCUCCAAUUCCACCUUUUAGAGAGCUCUCUAGAGAGAGAAAAUGAGAGAAAUGAGAGGGAGGGAGGGAAUGGCUGUGGGAGAGAGUGAGGAGGGCUAUUGGGGUCUUAACAUGUUGUAACAAUUAUAAUAAAACCCUCCAAAUAUUUGUAUUUGCAGUAGUUUUUAUUUUGCUGUCAGACCCAAAGUGUACCGGUACACUUUAGGGUGUUACCGGUAACACGAUUACGCAGAGGCAAACCUGAGAGCAGCUCUCUCAGUUACGCGGGAUUUGUACCGGUACAUUUUCAAAGUGCACCGGUACACUUUCAAUUUUUCUCAAAACCCAAGAGUUACUCUUCUUGGGCUGCAAUGCUUUAUCGGUAACAACUCGCUGGUUAUACCGGUACACUUUGCCCAUAAUACUGUUUUAGCUCCGAUUCAACUCUACUUCGCGCCGGUCGAUGCUAAAACCAUUCUAACACCUCUUAAACUCAUUUUUAGCCCUUCCAACAUUGUUGGAAUGCUAAAUGGGACUUACCCAACUAUUUCUUUCGCUUUGCUCACAUUUUAAAUCGCGCCGAGCGAUACUAAAACUUGCUUAACACCCUCGGGACUCGACUUUGACCCUUCCAACGUUGUUGGAAUGUCAACUGGAGUUUGUCCAUCUAUCUCUCUCGACACUUUAACCAAUUUGGCUAAAGUUCGAUAAUCGCUAUUGAGGUUUCGAUACAACAAGUUUUUGGGUUAUUAUACAUACUGAUAUUGUAUCUCGCUGGAGCGAGCGUUUUGGAUACCUGGAUGCUUUUGUAUGUAUAGUGAACCUCUGUUGUUAUUUAUGCUUUUCUCUUUAGUAGCUCUAUACUACUGGUUGUAGUGUAGUAUGAUUACAGGUACAAUUACAACUAUCGCUUCAUAUAUAGGGAAAAUUCCUUUGUAUACGGCAGAUUUGUCAGAGUGCCCAGAAAAACGAGUAAUCCGGGGCGUGACAGAUAAGUUCUCAAAAUACUUUUUUUUUUUAAAAAAGAAGGAUGUAUUUUUUUUUUAAUUGAUGAGUUUCAAUAUUUUGGAUAAGUUCCAAAUUAUAGAAAAAUUAAUAAAUUUGUAAUAUUUUGAAUCAACACUGGGUGAUGCUUACAAGUAUAGCGAAAUUUUCGAUCCUAUUGUGUGAGGAAUAAUAUUUCAAUCUUGUUAUUUUUUUUAAAAAAUGUACCUAAUAUCCAAAUCUCUUUUUGAAUGUAUUGAAAUGGCUUCCAAAAAUAUCAUAGCUGAUCUCGUCCGGGGUGAUUGAGCUCUCUCUAUAUAGAUGUAGGCAAGUUUAUUGGCAAGUGCCGAGAGAGAGAGAGAGAAAUAGGGAAGAGGGGAGUAUGGUAGGUUGCUAUAAUAACCAUCCGUACUUCUGACGGGAUGAAAGAGAAAGGAGGAUGGAGAAUGACAGUGAAGCAGGGAGGGGAAGGGGAGCCAUCGUUAGGGUGGGGUGGGGUGGGGAGAGAGGUUAGGGUAGGUUAGAGAUUAGAAUAGGCUAUGAUGAUUACCAUCCAUAUAUAUGGACAUCAGGUGACCAACCCCUAGCGGCGGUGGGGAUGAUAGGGAGUGUUACGCCCGGACCUCAGCGGAAGCCUACCUAAUGCGUGUACAGACCCACUAUAUGCACAAGGUGGCUCCCGGUGCCUACAAGGAGUCUACAAUAAACAAUUAAAAGAAUGAAUAAGGAAAUGUUCCGGCUCGUGCCGUGUCUGACCCCGUGGUAGUCAACAUUCCCCCUCUAGAAAUAAGCCUUUCCCACGGCAAUCUAUUUUGGCGCCCAAUCCCGUAUGGGCGAUCUGUCGUCGCAAGACCAACUCCGGAGUGCUGGUUUAUAGGGAGUGACCCUUAUUAGCAUUGCCAAGUUUUCCACCGACUUGUGACUUAAUACAUCCGCCACAACAUUAGCUUUUUUCAGGUGGUAUAGGAUAGUCUAGUGAGGAGGGGAGAAAGGGGAUGGACUGCUAGAAGGAGGUGGAUGCCCAUCGCAAACAGAGAAAGAAGACAGCGGGGGAGGGGAGUACGCUAACGUUUUCUCGUACUCCGACACUCCUCUGACAACCCCUUGGAACGUAUGUACGGAGGAAGCGGAAGGUCAUGAUAGAGUGAGUGUGACAACCCUUCGCACGUUGUGUGAUCUGUGGAGCUAGGCGUACGACAGAGGAUAUGUUAUAGUACUUGCUAAAUCUGAGCCGCUCUAGAGGGGAAGAAAUUGGGGGUGAAAGAGAAGGGAUCGCGGAUGAGAGAGAAGGAAGGGAUCGGCGAUGAGAGAGAACAAAUCGGGAGAGACAAGGCAGGCGACAUGUAAGCCCUCUCAGCAAUAGAGGGGGGUAACGGAUUGCGGGUAAGAGAGAGGAAAUGGAUCGGAAGAAACGGGUCAGACGACACGUAACCCCUCCCAAAACUCAAGCUUUGAUAUAAGUAUUAAUAUUUUUUCUCCCUCACUUCACUUCACUAGAAUUGACUUCGCUCCAUGAUGAAGUGAAGUCAAUGUCGAUAUUUUGGAUGAACUUAACAUUCGAUUCGAUCGUACUAAUAUUACUUUCAAUCAGACAACAAAAAUAAUUAAACAAAAAUAAUUAAUUUCUGUCAAUUUUUUUUUUUCUUAUGAAACAAAUUCUUUUAACUUGUGUGCUCAACAGACGAGCCCAGUAACCAAAUCGCGCCCAUCAUUCGCUCGUCAUAGCCCGUCGCUAGUGAUAAAGAGAGAACGAGCAAACAUAUCAUCGUCAUUAAUAAUGCUCGUACUCGCUCGCCCUCCCCCAUCUCCUCCCCUCAACCUCUCCCUCCGCUCUCCCCUCGCCCAUGGCGAUCUCAACCCCAACCGCCUCCUCCUCCUCCUCCCCUUCCACGCCCCUCCUAACUCCAUGGCCGCGGCGACGGGAACGAGAAGAAGAAGACGACGAAGCGGAGGAGGAAGGGGAGGUCUGGAGGUGACGUGCAUGGCGAACCAGCGGAGGGUGCGCAUGGUGGCGAAGCAGAUCCAGAGAGAGCUCUCCGACAUGCUCCUCACGGACAAGGUGCUCCAAUACGCCGUCCUCCCCGAGGCCUCCCUCGGCGCCGACCGAUACCUCUCCUCCCUCACCACCAUCAGCGACGUCGAGGUCUCCGGCGACCUCCAGGUCCGCAUCCGCCCAAACCCUAACAUGAUCCAUUUUGUUUCGAUUAAUUUGGUUAUUAGUUAUUAGUUAUUACUAGUUUGUUGUGCCUCUUUGGAGACGAAAUCGUAGCGUGUUUUAGGCUCUAGGGUGUAAAUUUGUGAGCUUUUAUUUGGGUUGCCCGUUAACUGUUUGUGUUUAUGCCGCUGGGAUUCUGCACAAGAAAAUUUGGAGGCAGGGUUAGAAAAUUUGGGACCUUCUGCUGUAGCGGAAAUCAGAACUGUAAUUUUGAGGGCCAGAAGUAGAAGCCCCAAUGUGGAGAUUCUAAUUUCCUGUAGAGAGAACCUGUUGAGGGGAUUUAGGGGCUGUUUGGUUUGACGUAAAACUACGGAAAAAAAAUUUUCGGUGGAAAAAAAUUUUUCGGAGGAAAAUAAAUUUUACGCUCUUAGCGUUUGGUUUAUAGGAAAAAAAAGUAGUUUUCCAUUACGGUUGUUUGGUUGAAAGGAAAAGAAAGGAAAAGAAGGAAAAAGUUAGGUAUGAAUAAAAUAUUAUUAUAUAUAUAUAUAUUUUUUAUUUUAUAUAUUAUAUAUUAUUAAUAUAUAAUAAUUAUCAUAUUACUAAUAUUAUAAUUUAUAUUUGUAAAUAAAAUAUAUUUAAAAUAUAUUGUACAAUAAGUAUAUAAUAUAAUAUAAUAUAAUAGUAUAUAUAUAUUUAAUACUAUAAAAUAAAUUUAUAAAUAAUAUUUAUAAAUAAAAUAUUUUAUAUAUAUAUAUAUAUAUAUAUAUAUAUGUGUGUGUGUGUGUGUGUGUGUGUGUGUGUGGAGUCGGUGUGGACCACUCACAUGGUCCACGAGCUCUUACAUGAGCUUGUGGACCCCGAUCCUAAGCCGCUCAUGGACCCCGAUCCUGAGCCGCAAUUUUUCACUGUGAGUUUUCGUUUUCCGCCGCGAUUUGGCGGAAAACAAAAAGCUUGCUUUUACAUAGAAUCCAUAAAAUAAUUUUUCCGGCAAAAUUUUUUUACAUCAAAACAAACGCUGGAAAAGCAAUUUUCAAGUCCGAAAAUUUUUUUUCAGGGUAACCAAACACACCCUUAAUGUAGUGUUUCUCGUAAUAGCUCUGCUCACAGUACUUCAUCAAACAACAGUGUGCCCUACAGCAGGACCAAACAGGACCUUAGUUAUGUUUUGUAUAUUUUGGAACACAGAAGCUUUGUUCAACAUUGUUUGGUCCUGACAAUGGUCGUCACCUUUUAUGUUUUUGGGCAAACUUUAAUUUGACACCCUGUAUAACAUACUUUUACUUUACCAUCAUGUGGUUUAAAAAGUAUCACUUACCUAUCCCGUGGUAUAAUGUACUUUUACUUUAUCAUCAUAUGGUUAAAAAAUUUUCACUUAACUAUUUUGUGGUUUUAUUUUUGUUUCACCAACAAAGAAAUCUAUUGUCAAAUAGGAUAGUAAAGUAAAUUUUUUUUUGAAAACCAUAGGGUGGUACCCUUUUUGGUAGCAGACCUUACAGUGAAACAAAAAAAAAUUACAAAAUAGUUAAAUGUAACUUUUUGAAAUAUGGGGUGACAAAGUGAAAACACGCUAAAUCAUAGGGUAGUCAAGUGCAACUUUUUGAAUCACGAAAUGGCAAAUUGAAAAUACGCUAUACCGCAAGGGGCAAAUUGAAGUUUGGAACAAAAAAAUGGCAUGUGCAUUGGUAACUAUUGCCAAUCAUAUCAUUCACUCCUUUUUUGAGUUAUUGUUGUAGUUUGGUGUUGUUUAUCUAACCUAUAGUCGAUUAUUUUUCCUAGAUGUGUGACUUUUAACGCAAGAAUCAUGCUUUGAUGAACCACUAUAUCAUUUCUGCUCUUUUGGGAUUAUAUUCUAAGUCUCGCUAGCCAUCAUGAAAAACCAUUGAAACCUAUCAUCACAUAUCACUGCUAUCACCUAAAUGUGGGAAUAGGAUUGUCUUCAUGUGGUUUACUUUAGUCUGCUAUCCAAAUUAUUCUUGUACACACUUCAGUUCCUCAUCUUGCUCCACCAACCACAAUGCAGCAUAACUACCAUGUAGUCAUAACACCACUGGAAGAGCCCUUACCAGCGUAGGGCAAGUCAUUGGGGUCAAUGACUUAACCAAGCGUUUGGUGCUUGAACCAAAUUUCCAAGAGGUUAGCCAAGUCAAGCUGUUGAUCAGUCAAAAGCACCUCCGAUUGCGAUUUGGCUUCUUGAACAACCCUCGAUUGCGCCAAGAUUAAGGGAUUCUGUUGAGAAGGGAUCGACUCAACCGGGUUCUCUAGCAAUAUGUAAAAUGAACCGAACUUUGGGACUUAAGAAUUUAUUUGGCUAAAACUCGAGCUGAAGUAGCUGCCGAACUAAUUAUAUUUUAUCAAUAGGGGAAAAUUACAGGGAUCAUGGACACUAAGGCUCGGAUUACAGAGGAACUAAGGAUUAGAACUCUAAAACUAGAGGCUACUUCUAGGAAAACAAUAGAUGCUGGAAAUGGAAGGAUUAUAGAUUACUCCUACGAAAUCAGAAGUGCUGGGAAUAGAAAGGAAUUGAAAAAGCGGUAGUCUUGUGUGCGGAAAAACCCUUAUUGCAUGCAACUUUUCACUAUUUAUAUUUUAUAGAACUCUUGUCAGUCCUCAGUUAACCUGCGGUUAUUGAACAGUUCGUGUCGUGGAGAGUGCUCUACCGUUGGUUAUGGCAUUGCUCCCCACCUUCUCAACCGUUCCUGCUCAAAAUUUGUUCAUCUUUGGACGAUUCCUUCUCAACUCCUAGUGCACCACGUGUCAUCUUUUUAUCUGUCCACGUUAGCCAACCAUGUGAGCUGAGCCGUCGACCAGCUGGCGCUAUUUUUCUUGCGCCAACACCAAGAUAAAAGAAACUAGAAGUUAAGGCCUCGUUUGUCCAUGGUUAUGUUUUUCUUUUUCUAUGGUUAUGUUUUUUUUUUGUCUUUUAGAAACUCACACUAUAUGCAAUUUGAUUUGCGAAAAUCAACUUCUCUUUUCUUGUUGUUGUUGGUUAGCUACAAACUUAUCGUAUUAAGAAAAAACAAGGCAGCAAAAGAAAAAAAAGAGCAAUUAAUAAAUUUUUGUUUAGAUUGCCUACACACCUCAUAAAUGUAUAGAAUGCAAGUUAUCUACCAUCCAUUGGUAUAUUCGAAUAUUCGAUUGCAUAGAACUUCAUGGAAAGAAAAUGAAAAUAUGUAAGCAUGACUAAAUGAGCCCUAACAUUUAGGUUUAUGAGAAGGAAACAAAUAACUAAAAGGGCUUGAAUGGGGCAACAAGCCACAUGACCAUUAAUAGCACGCUCGAUCCUAAAGAAAAAUAGUGUGGAGCUCCUUUUGCCAACUUUUGCCUCCUUGCUCAUUGUAUUUUAGCUCUUAAAUCUAUCGGAACUGUUAGUUGUUCUUGAUCCACAGAAAGCAAGAUUCUCAAGUUCUAGAAAGCCUUAAGGUUUAUUGUUUUGAUGUUUACAGAUGUUCAGUAAAGGUAGGUUGUUUGAGGUUUUUAAAUUUUGGGAGCUGCAGUCCUUGUUGAUUUUUGGAUUUGGGGAAGUUUUGGUAUAGUCUACAGUAGCAAAAAGGAUGGUGUUUUAGGAUGAUGAUUGCUUGGUGUAGAAAAAGUGAAAAGGACAGUAAAGGACAAAAAGAGGUAUUGAGGAGACAACUAUAAUUUAAAUUCUCUCAAGGUCUUCCGGAUUCACUCUGAGCAGGUGGAAGAAGACAUGUCCAUUAACUACUAAAGUCUUUUGUUUCUCUUUUCAUAUGUGCAAUACUAAUUUCAGAUCAUCAUCUUUGACUGAUUCAACCAACAUACUAGUUGAUUUUACCUUCUACUUUGACAAAUAUUAAUUAAGAUUGAUAAUGAUAUGAUUAUAGAAAGAAUCUCUCUUAAAAGAUUAUUUUGAUGAACUCCUUAGAUUUAACCUUUUGGCUUAUUCUGGUGAACAUCGUAGUCAAAAUCACCUUUUCCAUGCUCUAAAUUAGAGAGCUAGGCACAACAGUCUCUCCUUCAUGCACAUAUGAUGUUUCUGAGUAACCUUCUGGAUAAAGGAUUACUUGUGCACCAUUAGUCCUUAAAACUAUAAUCUAAUUUCCACAUCUGUCCUUGAUAUUUAAACAUAGAAUUCCGACACCCCAAAUGAAUGCAAGUCUUUAUUUAUUUAAUUUUUUAUUUUUUAUUUUUAUUUUUAUUCUCAUAACCUUCCAUUUGAGGUACCGACAGAAGCUUGCUAUGUUGUUGUGAGUGUGAUAACUACAUUGGCAUUUUCUUUAAAUAAACAUGGAAAUUCGAAAAUGUGCUACUGCUUCUUGGUGUAGAGAAGGAGCUCCAGAAUCCUGACCAAGAAGGCGGUAUUACAUGGGUCCAAUCUGAAAAUUGUAACAGCUCUUAGUUUGCACAAAUUUGUUAAUGGACGGUUUAUCGCAUGUCAAUUUUGUUAAUAGUUUCAGUUUGUCCAUCUCCAUAGAACUUAAGGCACCUUUUUUUUAUUUAUUUUUUUUUCUGUAGGUUGUAAAAGUAUAUGUAUCUGUUUUUGGUGAUGAAAGAGGAAGAGAGGUAGCUAUUGCUGGGCUAAAAGCAAAAGCCAAGUAUGUACGGAGCGAACUGGGUAGGCGGAUGAAGUUGCGACUGACUCCUGAAAUACGUUUCAUAGAAGAUGACUCUUUGGAGAGAGGAAGCAGGGUAUGCUUUAUUUUUAUGCAAUCCUGGAUUUUUCUCCACAGCACGAUAGAUUUUUUUUAUUUAUUUUUAUCAUUUUGCUUCUUAAUGAUAUAUUCUGGAGGUUUAUUAACUGCUGGAGCACAUUUUCUUACAUUUUUAUCUAUUAAUGAAUGAUCGCAUUUAAUUGCCUUUUUGUAUAGCUUACUGUAGAUUGCCUCGUUUUUCUUGAAUAUUUCUUGACAUUGCUAGUUAUGCCUAAUUUGGCCUAUCCUAAAAUAAAGCAUUUCUGAGUAAUUGAAAUAGUCCAAUGAGGUGGUUAUCCAUCAACCUGUCUUAAGGAGGUGUUUGUUCGUGGCCUUAUUUUAAUUUUUUUCUUUCCUAUUGGUGAUUAUAGUUGCCUGCAGGAAUUAGUUUAGGAACUUUUUCCAUAAGAAUUGUGCUUCUUCUGCAUCACGUGUGCCUAAUUUUGAAGUUUAGUUACAUGCAGCUUCUAUGAAAUGCCCCCCUUUGUAUCAAGCUUCACUACUGUAUAAUAAUCUAAUGUUUGAGAACAGAGAAAAAACUAUGUACAUAAAACAGGUCUUGUUUACUGCUAUGUUAAGCUUGCAUAACUGAAUUAUAUAAGUUGCUUACCAUUGUUUCCUGACAAACUGCUGUCUUGUGUAAUGCCUGUACAAAGCUGUCUAUCAACAGCUUAUGUCGGUUGAGAUUUUUUGAAACCCCCUAGUCCUUGUUUAGAUUCUGGGUUUGAGUGCAAAAUGGGUAAAAGAGGUUGAGUUUUCUACUUUAAUUCAGGUGUUUAGGUUUAUUUCGAGAAAGGCCAAGUCAAAACCUAUACUCAUUACAGGCCCAUAAAGUAGUAGAGAUUAUUUGAUUUGCUUGUGUUGCGAUAUAGGAUAGUCUUAAAGCUGAACUUUAACGGACAGUAUUAUUCUGUCUCAUUGUAAUUUUUGAAUCCAAUUUUGUGUUUCACGUUAUCAUCUGCUUCUUUUGACUGCUUUAGGAUUUUCAUUGGUUAGCUAUUUUAAUCGUCAUUACUAUGAUUCACAUGAUAGAAAAAUAACACAUACAGAUGCUAUAGGCAAUGGUGAACUUAUACUGUUGAAAUAGUAAAUAGGCUUCUGCCUAUUAUUGUAUCAUCUGAAUUGGAUCGUAACAAGCUUAUGCAUUAUUUUAAGAGAGAGAGCCUGUAGGCCAGCUCUUAGAUUGUGUCGUUCAAAUAGAAAUAUGCUAAUAAUGCAAUUUCUUUUCAUCAUUAUGUUCCCAUUAAAAAGCAUAUAUUGUAGUCCAAAUCAAAUGUUGGCAUCGUUUUCCUUGUAAAUCAAUUUUCCUCGUUUAUGCCCUUGUCAUGUAGCACUGAACACUUCUUAUUGCUCAAAUUGUCAACCACAGGUACUUGCUAUAUUGGACAGAUUGAAAGAUGAGAAGAAGCGCAUAGAAGAAGACGAUGAACAAUUUGAACAAUCCAACAUAUCUGAAGAAGAUGAAGAUGACAAGGAUGAACCAGAUGAAAGAAUCAUUUAUGUGAAAUAGCCUGCUCAUUUUGUUGAGAACUCGUAGAAGUUGAAUGAGGCUUCACAUUCAGCUGGUAAGUGCCCAAAAACUUUCCAUAAGAGUAUUUUGAAAACAAACUCGAUGUUUGAAAGCAAUUAAUCCUUGAACAUAUUCUUUCACAUUGAGCCUAUGAGCUCACUUUGCUAUUCUGGAUGGUUGCUUCACUGCAACCUGGGUAACAUGGUCCAAAUCACAAUGGAUAAUAACCUCUUGGCAUGUCCAGUUAAUAUCCUCCCUGUCGGAACCUCAGGCAGUUGGUUAUCUUCCUUUUGUUUUAGUGGGAUGUUGUAUAAGUUAGCCCAGCAGGGGUUAUUUUCCUUGUAACAAAGUGUUCAUUGGUAAUCUGGUCAAAUUCUUUUCUUUUUUUUUUUUUUUUCUUUCCAUAGAAAUUCCCUUUUGGCACUUUGUGUAACUGAAGUUAUGCUCAUGGUACCUACUCCCUCUCUAAGCUUUUUUCUCAAGAAUCACAAAAUAUCCAGGACCUUUCUUGUUCCUCAGCAAAGUACCAAUUUUUCAGCCGAAGAGAAGCAGUCAUAAACUGAGUAUAAAAAAGCUAAAGAAUACGAGCUCUCCAAUCGUUAGGACCUAGAAGUUGUUGUCAUUUGUAGUUCAUAUAGGCUGUAACUCUCAACAGAAUAAUAUUGCUGGAACCAGGUGCAUAUCGAGAAACUCAAUCCUGCUUUAGGGCCUGUUUUCCUGUGCUUCCCUGUGUGGCCCUGUGAAAUGCAUGUUUUCAUGCCAGUUUGGAAAAACUGUGAACAACCACUCUAUCUGUGAACCAAGUCAGUGUUGAAUUCUUAUAGGGCUGAUAUGUCUCUUCUCCAUUGCAUUGAAGGAACCAUCUGGUUAUAUGACUUUUGAUAAAUAGCUUUCUGCUGAGAUGCCAUGCACCAUUCGAAACUGCAGAGAAUCGCUCUCAAAGAGGCAGCUGCAAGAAACAAAUUUUUGCAGCUAAAUCUAUGCCUGCUAGAUACUCAAUUUAAAGCUAAUCAUCGUUGUCGAAAGAGGCUGUUCGAACUACAUGCUCGAUCCUAGCGACAAAAUGUUCUGCCAUGAGUUUUCUUGUUAGUAACGAAAUAAAAUGAAAUGAAAUCAUGGUUUUCUACUUUCUGCAUUCAAAUUCUAUCUAAACUAAUUACAUUCCUCAGUUUGUAUAUUUUGCGCCUGUUUUUAUGUAAAUCCUAACUCGUUUUUCUCCUUUCUUUUGUGCAGUUGCUUUAAAUCUGGAUGCCAUUGAACUGGAAGCUUAUGAUGUGCUAACACUAGCUAUUGUAUGAUGUAAAUUUUCCUCUCCUUUAAUCCCUAUACAAUUCAUAGGAAACUCUCUUUUGCUGGCAAUUCUCAUUUAAGUUUGUCACUCAAGUCUCACCACAACAUAAACUGAGCAUUUGCCAUUAAUUCUAUGAAAUGUAUUAAGAGAUAUAAUAGGUGAAGUGGUUGAAAGGAAAUUAUAAUUGUCACAAAAUGAUUGUUUCCCCAUAUAUAAUAAUGCAUUUAAUUUGGAAAUUUCUUUGGCUUCUAGUACUGGUUCAAUUUCAACUAUAGAUAUUACAUUCUGCUAAACCUAAUGCAUUGCAGCUCAGUAUUAGGUUGACAAAUAAGACGAAGUAUAUUUUUUAUCUAGACGUCAUAGACACAGAUAAUAGACAUGGAAUACGACAUGACUUGAACACGACAACUUGACAACUUCAAAAAAAUGAGGACAUAGACACGACAAGGAUACGACUAAUAAAUAUAAUAUUUUUAAUAUAAUAAUAAAUGUUUGUUAUAUAUAAACUAUUAAUUUAAUAAAAAUAUUACUAUAUAUUUCAUAUAAAUAAAAGCUAAUAUAAAUUUUAUUAAUAUUUCAUGUAUUUUAAGGAAAAAGUGAUCUUCCACCCAAUUUUCCACACUACACCAAAAAUCAUAUAGUAAUUUUUUUAAACCCCAAAACAAACUAAAGCCAACACCCCUCCAAGGAGCAGUGUUGGUUGUACACCCCAAUCUAGAAUCUAUAUCUUACGCCUCCCAAAUCGGACGGUUAGCAUUCUUUUGAAACUUUUUAUUGAAAAAUGUUUGUUAUGGUCGCCCUGCCUUUUCUCUCUGAGAUUUUUCCUCCACUCUAUCUUUCUUUAAUCUCUCAUUGUUUUCCAUCUUCUCUCCUUGUUCACUCGAUAUCCCACUGUCGUCCAACCUAUCUUCGGGCCAACUGUCACGGGAUUAGCUUUUUUACCUUGAGAAUUCUCAUGCGGCAUCCUAGCAUCACGCGUCUAGGCCAACUUUCCUGAGUUCUUAGCAUAGGGGCGCCUCCAAACUUAGCAGUGGAAUGUCAAUUUAACAUUUUAACCAAGCUUGCUCCUCCAUGAGCCUUAUUGCUCGGCACCACGCUUUAUAUCGGAUCUCUUGUCGAUCUAUAUUAGAUCCCAACGGACAAUCCUACCAAGGAGGUUGGCUACAAAGCUGAGUACAUUCUGUCUUACCAGACAAACCCUCCUCUAGAGUGCUGCACAGUUGAAUGCCUCAUUGCCCUUAAAGUAAGCCAUAAGGACAUUACGAAGUCUUCUCCAAUAAAGUCCAUUUGAUUAUAGCCAAGCGUCUCGCUCUCACGCGUCUUGCUCCUACAACUUGGCCUACACGCUACAAGGCUCUGAGCAAGGUUGUAAAUAGCGGAUAGCGGGUACAUAGCGUUUGGAGAGUCUCAUAGCGGAAAGCGGCUAGCAGGCGCUAUAGCGGGCGCUAUGAACCCAUAGCGGGUUUCAUAAAAGUAAAUUUAAUAUGUUUAUGUUUCUUAUAAAAUACAUAUAAUUUUGAAGAAAAGACAACUAAUCAUUCUUUUUUUUAGUAUUGCAAGCCUAUAUAUUUAAUGUCAUUAUCUAUUAAAGAAUUUAAAAUUAACUUUAAAAUAUUUAGCAAACCAAAAAGAUGACGAUAUCUGAUUCUCUUUUAAAAACGGAUCACCUUUUUAUCUUCCAAACCCUUAGAAACAGGAUUUAUUUCAUUUAAGGAUCCGACCCGAUAAGCCAUUUUAACCCGUUUGCAUUUUUUAAAGGUUUGGGCUCAUAGCGCCCGCUUUUCUACCGCUUUAUGGCGGUCGCUUUAGCGGGCGCUACGCCGCUAAAGCGGCCACUAUGAACCCGAACCGCUAUAUACCGCUUUAUCUAUUGUAGCAUAGCGGUAACACCUAAAAACCGCUAUAGCGGCAUAGCGGCCGCUAUUUAAAACACUGGCUCUGAGUCAAGGCUCUGCAACGUCUCACGCUUCAAAGGGCUCUCCUAAAUAUAACCGUCCUCAAUAUUAUAUCGUGGCCUUACGACGUCCACAACCAUAUCAAUUGACACUUUACACGGCUUGCUCGCUAGAUUCAACUGUAUUACCUUAUCAAGCCACCUAAGGGUGUGCUAUUGGUUGAUAAAACUCUCAAGCUCAACGACUUUGUGAAACACCUCGCACGUCAACGGUUCGCACAUUCGUACCUCGUGUUCUGCCCGCGUGACUUGAGUCACUGUCACUUUUGGCGAGUAAAGCCAACAUGUCCCACUGUGCUCUUUGCCGUCUACGUGACCUUUUGCUUUGCCAUGGCGCUCUGCGCACACGAUUCGCCUUACCAUAAGGUACUUACUCGAUUCGGGCUCAUCUUGUUCCGCUAGCCAUCCGGUAACCUCCAUUGCCCAACCAAGGAUGAUUGCCAGCACCCUUGAUCUAGCCCCGAGGUUUAUUUUACUAAUCCUAACAUCGAUCAUUCCCACUUGAUGAGCUUUAUGGUCACCUUGCACCAUGAAUCCUUGCUUGGCACACUUGCCCUGGCGAGCCUUGCCUUUUACAGAGGACCAUUUUGUCUUAAGACUAUCCUUAAUCUGCUUGUCCACUCCACUACAGAGUCCAAGAAAACUUCACGGAAUACUAGCUUGUAAUGUCUUUGACUUCGUGUCUUCGACAUUAUCCUAAGCUUUUAUACCUUCUGCUGUAUUUGGUUUGCUUAUACAAAAUACUAGGCUUGGCGUGUCCGCUUACCAAGGGGUGAUCUAUAUCUUAUAGACCAUUGGGGGAGUCGAGCCCACUUCACAAGUGUCCUAUCCCUCCUCUCUAUAAACCUAGCAAAGUCUCCCUUGGAUUCAUGGGUUCAAAGGUGCUGUACUAGGGGUACAUUUCUAGUCCCCCACAUGCAGCACGAAUAUCCUUGCCACCACAUGAGCCAUUGUUAGGGAAUUGCCUCUGUUGACCCGUCUGCCACGGCACACUUGAUAGUGUCUCAAUUUCGCAACUCCAUACUUUUGUCAAUCCUAAUGCUUUUCAAAAGUGGUCUCCAAGGAUGUCACGGCUGAGUCCUACUGAUUGGCACGUGACAGGCGUUCCUACUCAAGCUGUCGACGUGCUUGUCGAUGCUCAACCAAUUUGGAAUCAUGCCAUGCUGAUCUGCCAACAGUCAGUUUUGCUGAACGACGCUUCCCCAAAGCCUAACAAUCCUCCUCAAUCUAGCACUUCAUACACACGUUCUGUCUCUUCGAGUUAAAGCCCCUUGGCCUUGGUGCCUUCCAUGCACCACAAUAACUCCUUCGCGAAAUUAGAAUUCUGAUCUUAUAAUCCAUCAGAUACCAAGAUUGCACUAACACUGCAAUUUGGUCAUCUCCAUCAGAACCACUUGGUCUUAGCAUCCAUGUUGUCCUGACUUAACCCAUUUUUUUUGAGUCUAGUAACCAACCUAGUGACUCCAUCUCGUGGAAAUAGUCCUCUGACUAACGAUCCCUCACCAGAUUGUCACCACAAAGCCUGGUGCUCUGCUCAUAUGCCUCAAGCAUUCCUUAAUUUUCAAGCACAAGUUCCUAAUUAAGCUCGAUAAAGUGGCCCUUCCUCGCCCCCAUCGAGGUCAAACUUCAAAUUUCCCACGUCUUAAAGCGUCCAAAGCGAAUCAGCUCGUAGCUCGCCUUCACUUCUCCACCCCAAAAUAUCUUAAUGAUAACCAAUUUUGCGCCCCUCGCAUGUUAAGUCAACAGAUCCUUGAUAUGACAUUCUCUUUUUAUACGGCGAGUUCGUUUGCUCGAACUCCAAUCUACAUGGCAAAUGAUAAGAAUAUCCUAAGAAUCAAAUACUUCACAAAGUCUGCGAGUACUUGUACCAUUCUCAUGCCUUCUUUCCAAACAACUUUUGCCUCACAAAUGCUUCCACAAUCGCAUAACGUCGAGUUUCACCUAUGGUAUCAACUAGACGGUCAACUGACCCUAUGCUGAGGGUCUGCUGUCGAUGGGCACAAUGAAUCCAAAGAUUUAAUAUUUUUGCCUUUUUUGGGCUUUUUUUUUUUGAUAGUUUGCUUUAAAAUUUUUGAAAGCCUUUAGGAUUGAUGUCAAGUAAGUUUUGAUGGCUUUUUAUUGAGUUUUUGCUUGUUUUUUUUUACUUGGAUUCGUAUUCUCUUUGUUUGGUUUUGGUUUAGUGAAGUUCAGGUAGAGACAGUCCAUUUAGCUAUCCCAGACUUAAUGGUUUGUCUUGUGGUAUUCUUGGUAGCUUCAUUAGGAGUUGUAAAAAAUCUUCCUUAUUGAUUUAGUUAUGGUCUUUUAUUUUCUUUUAGGCUUGAUCGAGAGUUCCUCCAUGUCACUUUCAGCCUACCGUUUAGAACCCUACCGUUUUAAGUGAGUAGGAGCUAUCUCUUUGAAUUACUCCAUGAAAGUAAAAUAAAUCAUUUUUGCUAAAUCAUCAUAACAAUCAUUCACAUAUUCAUAUCAAAUUGCAUGUAAGUUGUAUUUCGGUAAACUGCACGUAGCUUCAUGAUCACGAUUUGUUUGCCAUUAUUGCUCUUGCAUUCACUGUUAUUUAUAUGCAUAUUCCUCGGAAAUUACCGGAUUGAACACUUCCUAGGAAAUUGCUUGACUGUUAUGAUCACUUGCUUUUUCAAUCAUAAGAAACUUGAAGAGUUUCAAUAGCUGAAGUUUAGUAGACAUUGGCACUUGUUAACUUGAUUGUUGACAUAAAAAUGUGUAAUUGACAUCCUAUUGUGUUGUCCUUCAUCACAUUUGUAUGGAUUUGGUAUUUUUAUUGUGGCGGGUAUUGAUGAGUUCCUAGUUGAGAGUGUAUGUUGGUCUAGUUGAGUUUUUAAUGGUUGAGUAAGCCUUGCCGUGGGGAUCUUAGGUUGGUUUUUCUUGGUUGCCUGAUUGAGUUCUCUUGGCUAAUUGAUUUUGUGGACUAGACCAAGAGCCUGAGGCAUUAUAAUUUAGUUACAUGUUGAUAUUGACCAGGAGAUCGGACGUUUUUGAUUGCUCGUGUCUUGUGGGUAUGAUGGCCUUUGGAGUGGAGAUUUAGAGUAGAAUACGAUGACCUGAUGCACACCGAGUUUAGUAGGUCGGGACACAGGUGAUUUGAAGAUGGUAUGGGACGGUAUCAAAUCGAAUCUUAAGAUCUAUAGGCUUGAGUGGGUUAUCAGGCUCGAACGAACGAAAUAGGCGUAUCUUCCAAAAGUUAAAACAUUCACAAUAGCAGAUGUUACAAGCCGUCCGGAUGAUUUGAAGAUGGUAUGAGACGGUAUCAAAUCGAAUCUUAAGAUCUAUAGGCUUGAGUGGGUUAUCAGGCUCGAACGAACGAAAUAGGCGUAUCUUCCAAAAGUUAAAACAUUCACAACAGCAGAUGUUAUAAGCCGUUCCAAAAGUUAAAACAUUCACAACAGCAGAUGUUAUAAGCCGUUUGGAACGCCUGAGAUCUGACAAAUUAGGUGCAAUGUAGUUCCUACCCCUGAGGGCCUCCGGCGGGGUGUCUUUUCUUAUCGUCUUUUUUGCUCUUCCCUAGGGGAUUUUAUAUUCUUCCUCCUUUGUCCCUUUCUCUGCUCUUCUUUUAUUUUCUGAGGCCUGGUUGCCUCAUCGUGUAGCUAAGUUUACUAUGAAUGAAGCAAUAGCAUGCUAUCUAAUUCUCAAAGGAAAAAAAAAAAAUCCUUAGGCUUGACAGUAUAUGUCAAGUUACAUAUAAGGUGCUGAGAGGUUAGCAUGUACUGUGCAAAACUGCUACACUAGAGUUUGCACGAAUAGUAUCAGUGAAAAUAAAUAACGUACGCUUAGUAAUCAAAUGUUAUCAGAUAUGUUAUGACGUGUUAUUCUGAAGUUAUUCUAAAGUGGAAUAUGGAGAUGGAAAGUAUGGAUUAGAGUAGAAUAAUGGGAUUGUAGUUUUUUUUUUUUUUUUUUUUUUUCCUUUUUUAAGAUAUAUGGGCAUUAUACGAAGUGAUGAAACUGUAUUAUAUAAGCGUGAUGAAAAAACGAAAGCAAAGAUUAAGAAAAUAAAAAGAAAGAGAAAAACUUCAUUAACAGUCCUUAUUUUGCAAUAUAUUUUCAUAUGCUUUAUGUGAUUUCGCUUGUGUAGUUACUUAGGGUCUGUUUGAUUCACAGUUUAUAAUAUUUCGAUAAUCCUUCAUAUUUUGUAUUAAAAAAAAAAAAUCAAAUCAUCACCAUUCAACUCCAGUUAGAUAGUAAUAAAAAGUGUUAGUGUAGUUAAAUUAUUAUAGAUUCUUAGGUGAUAGAAAUAUUAUAUUAUCAGGAGGUAGGAGAUACCUUCAUUUUCAUGCUUAGAUGGAAAUCACUAGUAAUACAUAGUAAGAUUAUACUAAUUCCUAACAAACUCUCAACCUAAGUUGCUUGAUAAAUUAGUAACAAGCUUACCACUCCAAAUAUAAAAUAUACAAUAUUUUAAAAAUAUUACCAACUCUGAACCAAACAGCCCCUAAAUUGUACUGAGAUUACUGAAGGAUAAGUCUCCCCCGUGAAACUGCAUUAUAUCAUAAGGGGCAUUUUUUGAAGUUCAUCCUGAAAACAUGAAAAGAAUUUGUAAUCAGAUUCUGCAAAUCGAUAGCGGAUGAUUCAGAAUUGUCAGAAACCAGGUUUUGUUUGAUUUUACAGAGAAAUGGAGCAUCACCUGCAAACUCAGAACAACACUCCAAACAUCAUUCUUUCACCCUUUUUUUUGCAAGAAUUACACAAACCAAUAAAAAGAUGAACAUAUAAUUCAGUACUAAUUAGAUAAUAAUUAUUUCAAGGCUCGGUUCGAAUCCAAAAUUAAUACAUAAACUAUAACCAGAAAGAAUCAGAUAAUAUAAUAAUUUCGCAUACAAGCGCCCCAUGCAGUUUCACAGAGAUUAUCAUUACAAUUCAAACCAUCAAGCAGCAGAGUAAUUUCAGGCUACACAAUAGGAUAAUCUGAAGCUUUUCGUAUAAUUAAAUGGUCAUUUCCAUGAGGAAAGCAAGCACCAUCUUCACUAAUCACAUUGCUGAAACUUUCAUUUACACUGUAUGAGAGGGACAGAUGCUCAAUACAUAUAAACUGAUAUUGCCCAUGUAAUGGUCUCCAAUUGUAGACCAUUUGAAUCCUAAACGAGUUCCGAAUUAGGGCUACACCUACAGCCGGCAAUUCACGCAAGUCACAUCGUAGCUGUACUCAUCUGGACCCAACUUUCCCUGCGAAGAUAAACCAGUAUCUGUCAGCACGCUCGAACAGAAGGAUAUAAGAUUCAAUACUUAAAACUAUACGACAAACGUCUGAACAAUUUUUCCUCCAAGCAAAUAUAUUCGACGUUUUAUGUAAUGAGCAACACAUUGAGACCCAUCCGGAAGAGUGUGUUUGUCUCUGUUAACAAAUUCUUCCUUUCUUCAAUGGUGGCACCUUGGAACUUAACAACCUCACCCGCGCCAUUUUCUACUGUUGGGUUGGAUUUACUUAGUUGCGAAAUAAACUCCGCAAUCUCAAAUCCCUUUGUUCCUUCUUUUUCUGUGUGUGACAAUGAGAUGAGCAUCUUUGUUCCUUCUCUUUUGUGCGUUCGUGACAAGGAGAUGAGCAGGAGCUUCCUCAUAUCUGGCAUGUCAAAAUGAUUCAUAAAUCUAUAUAAUUUGAUAAAAUUUACACCAAAAAAGGGGGAAAAUAUGAGAGGAUAAGCAUAACAAUGAUUCAUUAUUCAUACAAACACGGAACAAUAGCUUGCUAAAACUACAUUUUGUUUUUUUCGGACGGGGACGGAUUUGAGAAUAGGAAUCGCCCAAGUAUAUCUCACGACAAUCUUUCCCAUCAAUUGCUGCUAAAAGGGCACACAUAAGACAAAUGUUUACCUACGACCAACGCAUAACCAGUAGAACCAGAGAAAUGAUAAUGUGGAGACAAAUUAAUAUCAAACAUAGGUAUUACAAAAUGAAAAUACAAAGGUCAAAUCCCUUAAAUAUGGCAAAUACUAUAAGGCGGCAUUUGAAGAGAAAAGGGAUUAAAUUAAGUCCUUUAUAAAAACUAUCGAUUUUCGCAGAAAGUAAAUUCCAAGUAAAGUUCACUCAAGGGUGCUCAGCUACAUGAGUCCACAAAAAAUCAGUGUCUCUGUCCAAAGCAAAUGUGCAGUUAGCAUUGCAAAGAAACAUCAAAAUUAGAGAUGCUAAUACAAGACAAAAACAAUAUACAGCCAGGGAAGAAGAAAAAAAAAAAGACGACCUCUCAACGGGGUCUGGCACCGCGAUUCAUUUCCAUCAACUCCAUCAUGCUCACUGCGGUCCACACCUCAGCCCCCUCUUGCACUUGCGCAUAUAGCCGCUUCUUCACGGAAUCUAUACAAACGCUUACGCCCCCAAAUUCAUACACCGGAAGACCAUUGUAGAAUUUACCAACUCUAGGCAUAAAUAGCACCCCCGUUUCCAUAGCGUACGCCUGUACCAUCUCCUUGAAGCUCAUUUCCGGCGUGCCAGCGCUAGAAAACUGUGCCGCUUGUUGCUGAACCUCAAAUUGUCUCUUUUCGGUUGCUCUUAGGAAGCUAACAUUCUCUCUAGCCCCCGGUUGAACCGACUGCGAAUCAUCUGCAGCGUGACCCAUCAUGCCGAGCCCAGAAUUUAGUAUCUCACGAAUCCGCUCGUUGGCGAGCAAUUCAGGCGGGAAGAGCCCCUUCCAUCCCAGAUACCACUGCAGGAUUUCGCCGGGAUCGGGGUUCGAGCAGAGCCAAUGGUACAAGACCUGCUGCCACUUGCUGAAGAAGUCGACCUCCAGCAAGUGGACCAUGUGGUGGGUCGGGAUAGCCGACGCCCACAUCAUCACCCAGUUGAACUGGUCGAGCUUCUGAUCGGCCGGGUUUAUCUGAAACUCUUGCAGGGCCAUUUUGAGCUUCGGGAUGAUGUGGCGCACCAUAAGAUCCUCCCAACUAGCCGCAUCAAAGACGUCCUUCCACGGAGAGAGGAUAGCGUAGGCAGACGCAUCGCUUGCGUGCCAGGCAUGAAGAACGCUACCGAGCUUGUACCGAAUCGUGUGAUAGAGAGUCUCCAACCUCUGACCGAGUAAGGGGAGCCAGGGAUGAACCCACGCGUGAAUCGGGACGGUCUCACGGCGCGGGUCCCAUGAAUCGACCGCGGCGGAGAGCUUCGGCAUAACCACAUUCUCUAGAAUGGAAUGAAGAACAACGGGAGGCAGCAAUCUGUCCCACGUUUCCAAGAAACGAAGCAUGGGCUCCGGGUCCCGCGCCUGCCACGUGUUCGUCCCCGAUAUCCUAACAGCUGGCAAGACGACCUCGCUGACCAGCUGCGCGUACGGGGAGACGGCGAACAGACCGUCGGGUUGAUCUCCCUGCAGCAAAUCCCUCCACGAAGACAUGAGCUUCAACCCGUGUAACGGAUUCUGCAACGGCUCCCAGCCUUGGAACACGCGAAUCAAUAACGGGUAGGCGAAAGCACAGGCGAUCGAUGAUAAACUGCACAGCUUGUAGUCCUCGCCAAACUUCUCUUUUAGGUCAGCGAAGGUCCUCAACAGCGAAUCCAGAGUCAAGUCCCCCGAGGAAUUCGCCUCUCUCACGCGCUGGAGGGCAUCGGCGAUACUCUCCAAGACCUGUAACUGCUGCCUCUGUCUCGCUUCCUCUCUCACAAUCUUCUCUUUCUCCUUCGUCAGGAUCACUACCUUCUCCCUUUCCCUCCUCAGAUCCCUAUCGAGCUUCUGUAUGUCGACUUCCGUCGUGUCGACGAUCAGCCUCACGUUGUACUGAAGCUCCGGCAUCGGCACUUCGUUCUCCAGCAUCUGCUCCUCGACGUUCAAAUGCUCCAGACUCGCCAAGACCUUGACUUGGGGGCCCCUCAUAUCGAGCACCUUCUGGACGACCUCAACGCUCUGCUCCUGCUUCCUGGCGAGCAACUCGUCCUUGGUCAAGACCUCGGCUUUCUUCCUCCCCUGCUUCUGCUUCAACCACAGCUUCUCCCUCGACCGGCCGUCGGAUGCCGACGCGGCGGCCUUCUCCUGCGUAGAAGGCGCUUCGAGGACGGGUAAUUUGGCCUCUUUGUAGUCGUUGAAUCCCAUGCCCAUGUUCUUGGGCCGGAGCUUGGCUUCGAUCGGGGCGACGAUGCCCUGCUCGUUCUUUCCCAAACCGGUCCCUUCUUUGUAACCCAUCAUCUUCAUGAGCUUCAUUCCGAUGCCCUUCGUGUGGCUCUCGAACCUAGCCAUCUCUUGAGCGCCCGCGACGUCUCUCCUCCCCGAGGGUUUCUUCGCGGAGUUGGAUCGCUCCCUCUCCUUCUCCCUCUCCCUCUCCCUCUCCUUCUUCCUCUGCUCCGCCCCUUCCUUGAUCUUACGCCCAAACGCGGUGGGAAGGAAAGAUUCUUCGUCGUCGUCGUCCUCGUCCUCGUCCUCGUCGGCGCGCCCCGCGGGGGCCUUCUUCUUCUCGGGAUCGGGGCGGAACCCUAGGCCGAAGCCGAGGCCCUGGCUAGGGUUAGGGUUUUCGUCGGCGGGGUCGGGGUCGUCGUCGGCGCUGCGGUCGAUCUCCUGGCUGGGCAUGACGGUGCCGGUGGAGACGAAGUGCACGGGCUUGGUGAGGUCCCCCUUGGAGCCGAUCACGUCGCCGCGGCGGCGCUUCCGGGAGCGGCGGCGGCCGCCGCCGGAGUCGGAGUCGGAGUCGCUGGAGCCCGCGGCGAAGACGCCGAGGAUGGCGUCGUCCUUGGACUGGACGGGGCGGUCCCUGCGGCGCGAGUAGUAGAACUCGCCGCCGAUCCAGCGCCCCCCCUCGAAGUCGUUCUCCAUGUCGAAGCGCUCCAUGCCCUGGUACUCGUCGUCCUCCAUGGCGGCGUCGGGAAGGAGAUCUAGGGUUUCGACGGGGACGCGGUUUUCUCCGAGUCCAAGACGAAAACGACAAAGGGUGCGGCUCGCGCGAUUUCUUUUGUUUAUCGGAGCGGGUUGGGCUCGGUCGGGCAGCCGACAUACACUUAAUUAGAUUACAUGAAUUUGGGUAGGGGUGACAAUUCAGCUCGCUGUUCACGAGAAUCGGCUGGUGUUCGGCUCGAAACGAGUAAUGAGCGUGAAAUCGAAUCGUUUGUUUAGUAAACGAGCCGAACACGAGUUGAAUUUUUCAACUCAUUUAAUAACGAGCCGAACACGCGCUGGGAUCAGCUCGUUCGUGUUCGAUUUGAUCACCGCUCGAAUACAUAUAUUUUAUAUUUAUAUAAUUUAUUUAUUUUAUAUUUAAAUAAAUAAAUAUAUAUAUAUAUAUAUAUAUAAUAUUUAUUAUUUGAUUUUUAGCAAAUAAAAUAUAAAGAUGAGCUCAAUUAUAAAAAGACUCAUUUAUAUGUAAAGUUUCAACCAUUAGAUCAAAGUUCAAUGAGUAAAAUUUUAUAAAUUUAUUUUUUAUAUAUAUCAAAUAUAAUUUGUUUAACUUAUUAUUCGUUGGCCAACUUGUGUUUGGCUCGUUUAUUAACGAGUCAAACACGAGUUGAUUUUUCAGCUCGAUACUUUAACGAGUCGGCCCUAACUCGCUCAUGUUCAGCUCGUUGACACCCCUAAAUUUGGGUCAAUAACUAUUACAUGCAUGCCGUUACUUGUGAUUAACAAGGUAGGUUUCAAAUCAACUAAAUGGAUCAGCAUAGUAAUAAUAUGAAGAAAAAAAAAACUGUUGAUACCAAAAUUGAGCCGACCUAACCCACGUAUGAGCCAAUAAAGACACGUGGUACACCAGUAGUCGGCAAUAAGGCGCCUAAAGGACAAGAAGGCGGGAACGGUUGAAGAUUGGAGCGUAACUUCCAUGAGGAGUUAGCGUAAUUUCCAUGAUCAUGGUUACAACCACUCCCCCCCAACUACUUUCAACCAAUUAAUAAUGUGGGCUAUAAAUAGUAACUUUGAAGCCUGCAAUAAGGGUCUUCGCCCCUGCGCACAAAAGACUACCUUUAUUUUCUGUAUUUUUCUAUUCUCACAUUUACCGCUUUCUCUAGGAGUAGUUCUUGUAAUUUAGCAUACUCGGAGUCUACCUGCCCUACGGGCAUCACUCCCUUGUUUGUGUACUUUUUCCCUACGCAUUUCAAUAGAAAGUCACCUUCGGCUCUUCCUGCCGAUCAGAUCACAAGUCUGUCUGGCCAUUCGGCUCGUUUCUUAGUCGAGUUCCGGGCUUCCCCUCUCUAUUCGGCUCAUCCUGCCGAAGCGACUCUACUGCAAAGGUUUUCGAACCCGGCUGAUUCGAUCCCUCAUCGGCCUAAUCGCUUGAUCCUCUGUGGGUGCAUACUUCGAGGGUCAUACUCCGCAGCCGUCUCACACCCCGACGUUCUUCCCGAGGAGAAUUAUUGACCGGGUCAAGGGUCGGGACAUUAGGCACGCAACAAUUUUUUGGCACUCCCGAUGGGACACAUUUUUAGGUAAAUUUAUAUUUUAUAUAAAUUAUGGCUGAUGAUCUACGUAAUAGGGUUGUUCCUAGAAAUUCUGGGAGUGAUCAACCUAGUGAUUCAGACAAUGCUGGCGAAUGUCAAGCAGUUUUGCCAGUUGAAGGAGAAAUUAGUGGACAAUCGGCUCAUCAAGAGCCGAGUCUAACUCAGGCACUCGGCCAGAUGAGCCGAGUCCUGCAAACUUUAGAUCAAAAUAUCCAUCAAAGUACCGCUCGACUAGACGCGGUGCUGGCCGCUAUCACGGCUUAUAAUGAAAAUAUUGCACGAAUAUGGCAAUUAUUGACUCGAAAUGAGCAACCAAUGACAGGCUUACAAAGGCCUAUGAUGACACCAGUGUUGCAAAAUUCUGCGACACCGGUAAAUGGACAGGCCCAAUACCAGGGGGCACCAUUCCAAGCGGCUUACAGACCGGCCGUCGUUAAUACCGGUCAACAGCCAGAAAUUACAUGGGGAUUGCCACCACCUCCGCCGAUGGCAACAUACCAGCCCCAAAAUGUAGGGGCUAGAGCUGGGGGGCAGGCCCCUAAUGAUAUGCAAGGAGCGAACCCUGCAAUACAGAAUUCUGGAGUUCCUCAAGGGCCAAAUUCGGCUCAAGCACAAGCUUCGCUGUAUGCUCAGAUUGAGGAAGUCAUUCGGAAUACCUUCGGAGUAGGGGCCAGGCCGGCUAUGCGGCCUGUUUUUCGAUCCUCGUAUCCAGCAAAUAUAUAUACAGAGCAUCCGUAUCCGGCAAACUGGAAAAUGCCGAAGUUUGACAAGUUCUUGGGCGAUGAGACCGAGAAUACGGUCGAGCAUAUAGCCCGGUUCACGUCCCAAUGUAGAGAAGCGGCCGCUGACUCAUUUUUGAAACUUCGAUUAUUUAAUACGUCGUUAACUAAAACGGCGUUUAUUUGGUAUACAAGUUUAUCAACCAAUUCCGUCCAAGAUUGGGACGAAUUGGAAAGAAAAUUUCAUGAGCGAUUCUAUAGAUCGGAGCCACAAUUAUCGGUCGCCGACUUGGCUUUGUACCGACAAAUGUCAGGUGAAACGGUCGAAGAGUAUUUGGACCGUUUCAAAAUAGCCAAAAUCCGGUGCUUUAUGAGAAUGCCGGAAUCAGAGUUCGCCAAAAUGACGUUAAAUGGUCUACAUUUUAAGAUAAAAGACCAUUUUGAAGAUAAGUAUUUUUCUAACCUAUUUGAUCUAGGUGUUCGAGUUGCCCAAUACGAGCAAUUUCAGAAGAAAAGUGAGGACGAUCGGCUGCAAUGGAGCCGAUAUAAAAAUCAAAGCAAAGGCAAGGAGAAAUCCUUGCUAGAAGAACAGUCGGUUCAAGAAGAGCCGAGCCAAUCGAGUGAAAGUGAAGAAUCGGCUGAUGAAGCCGAGAUAUAGCCACUUCCUUUAAGAAGAAUUUCCUGAUAGAAAAACAUUCGGUUCAAGAAGGGCUGAACUAAUCGAAUAAAAUUAAAGAAUCGGCUGAUGAAGCCGAGAUAUAUGUGGCUGGGAUGAUAAAGCGUCGUUUUCCUAAAGCCGACCAAGAUCAGCGAAACUAAAGCUUGGGUCUCGGCUGUGCUUUUGAACAGUCGAUUUGGCACCAAUAGUCAUCCGAAUGUUCAUUCGAAAGACUAUUGGGGGGGCAUUGUUGAUACCAAAAUUGAGCCGACCUAACCCACGUAUGAGCCAAUAAGGACACGUGGUACACCAGGAGUCGGCAAUAAGGCGCCUAAAGGACAAGAAGGCGGGAACGGUUGAAGAUUGGGGCGUAACUUCCAUGAGGAGUUAGCGUAACUUCCAUGAUCAUGGUUACAACCACUCCCCCCAACUACUUUCAACCAAUUAAUAAUGUGGGUUAUAAAUAGUAACUUUGAAGCUUGCAAUAAGGGUCUUCGCCCCUGCGCACAAAAGACCACCUUUAUUUUCUGUAUUUUCCUAUUCUCGCAUUUACCGCUUUCUCUAGGAGUAGUUCUUGUAAUUUAGCAUACUCGGAGUCUGUCUGUCCUACGGGCAUCACUCCCCUGUUCCCAUACUCGGAGUCUGUCUGCCCUACGGGCAUCACUCCCUUGUUUGUGUACUUUUUUCCUACGCAUUUCAAUAGAAAGUCACCUUCGGCUCUUCCUGCCGAUCAGAUCACAAGUCUGUCUGGCCAUUCGGCUCGUUUCUUAGUCGAGUUCCGGGCUUCCCCUCUCCAUUCGGCUCAUCCUGCCGAAGCGACUCUACUGCAAAGGUUUUCGAACCCGGCUGAUUCGAUCCCUCAUCGGCCUAAUCGCUUAAUCCUCUGUGGGCGCAUACUUCGAGGGUCAUACUCCGCAACCGUCUCGCACCCCGACGUUCUUCUCGAGGAGAAUUAUUGACCGGGUCAAGGGUCGGGACAUUAGGCACGCAACACCAACAAUAUGGCUUAGCAUGUAUGAAUUAUUAUUUAUUUUAAACCAGCGGCUGCAUAAAACUAAUCCCAUACCUCCAAGCGACAAAACGUUCAAUUUCCAUCAUGCAUCAUUGCUAAUAAACCAAAGAAUACAUCGGAAUCCACAUCACGCUCCAUAUAUAGCAUUAAUCAGAUACAAGUAACAAUUUAAACCCACAAAAUAACAUAAUGGCUUACCUCUGCAAUAUCAAAUAGUGCAGGUAGUAUUCACUAUAUAAAUCGCAGUAAAGAAAGGAUAGGUAUUCCUCAAAGCCCAAUUUUCUCGAGAAGGGUUUGCAGCUUUCACAAAGAUUGCUAUUUAAAAGGUCACAAUGCGACUUAACUAUGUUAAGUGGUAGGCGAUAAGCAAAAAUAAUGGAGUGACUUAACAAGUCGAAGCAAAUACAAGAUCUAAGGAAAAAUCUUAUAGCCGAGCGAGAUCACAAUAAUUAAUGGACGAUCUUUACAGGCACCGAGCUUCCGCCAUCUUUUGCCAAAUUAUUGGAAAAGUGAUGCAGCUUCAAUUCUAACUAUUGCAAUUAAAGAGGGUUUUGGAGCUCCAAUUCUAACUAUUGCAAUUAAAGAGGGUUUUGGAGCUAGGCGGGAGAAAAGCAAUAGAUCUAUAUUGGCAUUGUUAGGGGAAAAAAAAGAUCACUUCUCUUUUCUCUCCUACUUCAUUAAACCCACUCCUCUCCUAUUUUUCCACUAUUCCCUCCACUUCUCCACCAUUUCCUUCGCUUCUCCAUCAUUUACUAUUCUCUUCACCAUAAACCCCCACCACCCUCUUACUAUAUAAAGAGGGGUGAACAAAAAAAGGAGAGGUUUCUACUCACAAAAAAGAAAAGAAAAGAAACUUGGAUUAAAAAAUGAGUCAAAUAGGAAAGUGGGUUUAGAUUCUCUCACUCUCAUUUUCUUUCUCUCUUCUCUCCUAGUCAAGGUACUCCCUAUAUCGAGCUUUCUACGCGCACCAGACUACAUGGAAGUCAGUUCGUGCCGUCGUCAACCAUUACUCCGCCGAGUCAUCGUCAACCAAUAAGAGACGACCGCUUGUCGCCAUUCCUCACUGUAAGGACUGAGAUUUUUGACAGUGCGACUAAACUCUCUGUUGAUGAUGUUUAUGUGUGUAAUUUAAUUACAUAAGCACUCGUCAAGUUUCAGGAGAAACUGAGCUAAAUGGAGAAGAUACGCAAUUUUCAGCUUUCACUUAAGUGAAUAGUAACUCCAGUUUUCCGGGGAAGCCACGGAGUAGAGUUGGCUUCUGGUGCGUAUCGGACUCCGUUCAUAUCAGUCCAAUAGCUCGUUUCGACGCGGCUUAAGCUGUUCUGCGAACUAGUGGCGGGCUGAUGAGUUUUGAGUUUGACGCACGGAUUUCGAGAAAUCCAAAAUACAUGUUUUAUAUGUAUUUGUGCGUCAUUUUGGCCUUUUGGAGAGAAAAGCGGAUUUACGUCGCGAAUCCGUGAUCGUUGGGGUGAACCAAAUGGUAAGCUUUUUGUCUCGGAAGGUGACUGAUCGCACUGGUGCAAUCCGUUUCGCUACAUCCUGACGGACGUUCGAUUCUGGCGAGAUCGCUGCCGUCUGAUUCGAGAGAGGUCGGUGAUGGCAAAACGUAUUUUCGCAAAAGUCGCAAUAUUUUAGUACCGUUUUUGUGUGAGAUCGCACGUGGAGGGGUAUUCACGCUUUACCUCAGGCUGGGAAGGAUAUUUAAGCUUGAAAUAGUAAGUCUAGGUGGAUUUCUUCGCAAUUUUGGCUCUUACUUAUAUAAUUUGUUUUCUAGGGUUCUUCUUGUGAUCCGAGCCUUAGAUCAAUCCCUAUUAACCUAACCGCACCCCACCACGUUCUUGCUCUCUGACACAUGCGCGCGACUCCGGCCGCCGGACAUGAUCUCUCGACGCCAGACACCACCUACCCCAUGCCGCCUUUUCUUUCCCUCUCCCUGCUCUGUUCCCACCUUCCUUCUCGCAUCGGCCUUUGACCUGAGCAAAGGGGAGCGACUCAAACCUCCUCCUCAGCCGCCUCCACCCUUACCCGACCUCAGGCACAUCAGCCGGCCGCCGUCACCCUGGUGGCGGCGCGCCCGACACCGCCGACAUCUCUUUGGCGACCAUCUGGAGCGCGUGCGGGCCAACUUGACCCGCACUGCCGCCGUCCUGCGCCGCCCGCGCUAGGCCGCGCCGCCGCUUGCCCUUUGACACUCGGCGUGUCCGUCGCCGCGGUUCCCGCCGUCCAUAUUGCUGAUGGUCCUGCCUGGACUCCGCAGCCGCCCCAGCCACUCCCGAGGCGGGCCGAGCUUGGGGACACCCAUCUAUAUGCCUCCGCGCGCCAAGCUCCGCCGCUCCCUGCCGCAGUGCAACUUCCGGACGAAAGACAUCCGACUGCACCCCCGGACAUCCCGACCUGCCCGGCCAACACGCCGCCGUGGCCGCAGCACCCCGGACCCGUGCCCUAUGUCCGUCGGCAUGCCAAUAGUCCCGCCCGGUCCCACUCUCGCCGUUCCGCCGCCCCACCGAGUGAGCUUGGUAGCUCCUAACACACAAGACCCGCAAACCUUCCCUGGCGCCGCGCGCACACAACACCGUGCCGGCGGUGGCCGCCGGAGCAAGCUGCUCCGCCAAGCCCGAAAUAUGGGCUUAAUUUAGGAUGGGUUUGUGUUCUACAGCGUUCUCCGAGCCUCCCGAUCAAUAACGGAAGGGAGCAACGAUAUCGUGACUCUUUUCUGAUCAUCGUGCUCCAACCUUGUUUUUGUCGGGAAAACCACACACACCCGUCCAAUGUCGGCGGUGUCGACCCUGUCGAGCCUGUUGGCUGCUAUUUUGGGUUUGCGCACCGUUUUCUCACCACACACCGGCGACUCGAGCGCUUGUUAAGAUGCACUCCGAAGGUGAGCACUAGGUGAUCGUCUGGUUCAGUUCUGAUCCACAGUGACUCACUUUACUAUUGGAUCAGACGAUGUCGUUCGGCCUGUUCGGCGCGAUUUUUCCCGACUGCGCAGCUGUUCGCCCACAACACACCGCUGAACCUUCGGGUUGCAAUAACGCGCUUUUCACACCACGAACAAAUAUGUGCUCCAGAAUCGGCGAGCACGCCUCUCAGUACGAUCGAGAUCGUCAGUGCGUGUCUCUGGCGAACACCUUAGAAGUCCUCAGUUUCGUGAACGAAGCCAUGGUUAUCGAGCAAACCAUCAAUUAAAAUAUUGGAAUUUUAUGUAUGAGGGGCCUGUUUUGUGCAAAGUGGGAUUUAUGAGGCUACUGUGGGCAGUGUAUAAGGCAUGUGUGUGACCUCUGGACUGAUUGUCCAUGAUCUGUAGCUUUUGCGAAAAUCAAAGACCACACAUUCAACAAUCUACUCUUCGGCGAAAUCUCCGAAAGACGCCCAGUAUUCGGUUCGAGAGAUUAUUCAAGAUUGAUGCUCUGUGAGUGGAAGCCUGUAUCAUAGUCACCAUACCAAAUCACCACAACACUCUGGGUAUCGGUGAUGACCGGUGAGCGCGAACGGUGGGACGCAUUCGGUGUCGAAUUUGACAUUCAGGAACAACAACCGAAUCGCACAAUUAUCCCGGCCGACAUUGUGUAGGGCGUGUUAUCAUAUUACUACCAAAACAUCCAAUUGGAGUGUUUUGGGGCAGUAGGUGACUCGUGACACCGAUCGUGAGUUUCGGGACACUUAGUGGUCCCGAGCGGCGUCCCGAUGUGGUUUUCGGACUUUCGUUGUUCGGAUUGUAUUUUUUAUCGUGGUUAUUUGGGGUUUAUGCUUUACAGUUUCUUUAGACACUAAGCCAUGUGGCACCCCCCUUAGGUCCGGUUGGAACGUUUCUUGGCAGUCAGGAGACAGACGCGACACGUUGUACAGGUGGUACUUCAUCUCAAUAGUCGGUACAGUGUGUACGCUCGGUGAUAUUUUCUUCUAUCCCUAUUCUUCUAUUGCAUUUUCAGUAUUAUAUAUGAGCUGCAUCCCGUUGUUUCUAUCAUACUCUAUCUCAAUAUGUUUUCAUGCUUAGUAUCAUGAUGUAGGAGUAGAGUAGUUUAUCCUUAUUGAUAUCCGGUGACCGCUGAUUGGUCGGUCUCGGUACUUUGUCCCGUGACCUGAUUGGUCGGUUCUCUCUCGUUUCAGUGACCCUAGUUGAUCGGUGCGUUUAAUCUAUAUUGUUGACAUCUGGUUGGUCGUUGUGCAUUAUGUAUGGUUUGGUCUCAUUUCUGACUUAUGUCGUUGCGAUGACCUUGAGUGGUGUACCCUAGGGUAGGAUCUCGCUGUGCUUGACGGUAUCUGGACUAUAUCGCAAUACACUCUGUGACCUAUCGGGUCGGUUCUUAGCGUUCUGUACUUUUAGUUGACAUCGGAGCAGUAAUCUACAUAACCAUCUUUAUUAUCUGCCAAGGUUGUUUUAUGUUAGAUCCUGUAUAGGGUGAGAGUAGACGACAAUCGUAUAUACAUAUUUUGACUGGUUGGUUCGGUUUCCUAUUUGCAUGCGGUGGACUCUGUUGGUCGUCCGUUACUUUCCGUACAAUUGAGUAUCCUCGGUCCGGUUCACGUUGUUACUUUGAUUGACGCUACACGGUCGUAUUCGUGCCCCAGAGGGCAGUUGAUUGUCGGCUGAUGCCGACGGUUGCUAUUGAUCAUAUCCGAUUGAUCCGUCACAGCUCGGUCAUUUCACGUACACCAGCGGUUGACCGCGACCUCAGGAGGGUGGUUCUUUUCCGGAAAAGUGGUCGUACAUCGAGCCCGUGAGCCCAGCGGUGUUCUCUUUGUGGCUAGGGUUACAUGCCAUAGGCUGUGAGUAGAUAGUGGCUUUUUCCUGAGGUUCCUUAGACCGACACGCUGCGGUUUAGAUUGGGUAGCUUUGGACUUCUCGUCCGCGUGACCAUAUACUAUAUAGGUCGUUGUUGGCAUAUAUACUUCUAGUUCUUUCCACUUACAGUUGUCUUGCUACUAUAGUUUUGAUACCCCUGUACAACUACUUGCAGUUGUAACCAUUUACAGUAAGCGUAGUUUUGUGUUUUCGAUCUAUAUAUAUAUAUAUAUAUAUAUCUCGUUCGUUCAUUAUCGUUGCUACUGUAUUUUUACUUACCAUAACUGUUGGUUAUCUCUUCCCUGAUCCGGUGAGUACUCGCCGCCUCUUCGGCUUGCGUAGCCCCCCGCCCGCCCGCCCCGCCCCCCCCGCCCCACUGGGAGGGGAACAUUGUUUAGAUGUUCCACCUCCCCACCAAUUUUUCAGGUAUCGCGGCGAUGAGUAGUGGGACGAGAAUGAGGCUACGUGUUGUACGCGUGCGAAUGAGAGCUUCCGACCAGGUUGUUUCGAUUUUAUUUGAUAUCCUUGGUAUUUCUGUUGAUAUAUAGUUUAGUUGGUUUAUGUGGUUCAGUAAUUAUUUACAUUCGAAAAUGUGUAUUUCUGGAUUUGUAAAAUAAAAGGUUUUCUACCCCUCGUGGUAGCGUUUUUAAAGGAAUAAAGGUUUCUGUGUAGGAAACAGCUUUCAAAAGAUUUUGUGGUUUUCUGUUUAUACCUUGAAUGUAAAACUGUGAUGUGAAUGGUGAAUGUAUGAAUGUAUAGUUAUCUUUAUAUUCAUCUGGUUGUGGUUGUAUCCUGGUUGUGCUGUAUAUUUGAUCGACGCCGUGCAAAUACAGGGGAGACUCUGUCCGUGUGAACAGUGGAUUCCCUGUAUUUGUGGCGGAUCUGGCAUACUCUGGGGUCAGGAUUUCAAAAAAAAAAAAAAAAAAUUUCAGACGCUUUUCCGCUUUGUUUUAAACUGAAAAGGGACCCCAGGGCGUGACACUCACUGACUGCUACUACCUCGUCGUCAUUGAUCCCGGAGUGGUGCACGUUCCCUUUUGCUAUUGUCGCGUCAUCAUCGACCAAGGAGGUGGCCACUCGCCUGCUGUUGUUGCGCCCACAACAACGACGAUCCACCAGUGCUAUGCCGUUGGCGGUAAAGGUGGCGACGACAAUGACAAUGACUAUCCGCUAGACGCCUGGCCGUCGGCAGUGGAGAAAGGCGGCAACGACAACGAUGACAGCGACUAUCCAUUGGCGCUUUGCCGUCGGCGGUAAAGGCUGCGAUGACAACAACAACAACAACUAUCUGCUUGAUGCUUAGUCGUCAAUAGUAGAGAAAGGUGAUGAUGACGUGACUAUCUGCUUGACGCUUAGUUAUCGGCGGUAGAAAAAGGCGGCGACGAUGAUGACGACAAUCCGCUUGACACUUAGCCAUCAGUGGUAAAGGCGACGACAACAACAACGACGACUAUUUGCUUGACACUUAGCCGUCGGCGGUAGAGAAAAGUGAUGACGACGGCGACUAUCCGCUUGACGCUUAGCCGUCGGUGGUAGAAAAAGGCGGCAGCAACGACGACAACGAUCUGCUUGAUGCUUAACCGUCGGCGGUGGAGAAAGGCGGUGAUGACAACGACGGCGACUAUCCGCUUGACAAUUAGCCGAUGCUAGUAGAAAUAGGCGAUGGCGACGACGACGAUCUGCUUGACGCUUAGCCAUCGGCAGUAAAGGCGGCGAUGGCAACAACAAUGGCGAUUAUCCGCUUGACGCUUAGCCAUUGGUGGUAGAGAAAGGCGACGACGAUAGCGACUAUAUGCUUGACGCUUAGCCGUCGCUAGUGGAGAAAGGCGGUGACGGCGAUGACGACGACGAUCUGCUUGACGCUUAACCGUUGGUGGUUGAGAAAGGCGGCGACGACAAUGACUUUGACGAUCUUCUGCUUGACGCUUAGCCGUCGGCGGCGGAGAAAGGCAACGAUAACGGCGACGAUCCACUUGACGCUUAGCCGUCGACGGUGGAGAAAGGUGGCAACAAUGACAACCACCAUCCGUUUGACGCUUAGCCGUCAACGGAAAGCGCCAAUCAAAUUAUUGAUUGCCGCUCUUGUUAAUUGGCUUUUUGUUAAAAACUUGUGCAUGAUGUAUAGUUUAUGUGCGAAUUUAUGCAUAGCGCAUUGCUUACGUGCGCGUGCUAAACGUUCGACGAAAUGCCAAAAACAGUGUGCACAUAAUGAAAUGUUAAAGAAAACUUGAGCAUGAUGCAUUGUUCAUGUCCGAGUGCCAAGCAUUCGAUAAAAUGCCAAAGACAGCUUGCACAUAAUGUAUUACCUAUGUGCAUGUCAAAUGCUCGAUGAUAUACCAAAGAAAGCUUUAUGCAUGAUGCAUGGGCUCACAUUGUUAUGAGCAAUAUCUUGACGAGACAUUAAUUAUAUGUUCGUGAUUGCUUGCAUUAAAAGAGAGAACGAGAGAGAUGAUAAUUUUUGUUUUUCUCUUUUUGGUUGUAUUUAUUUUUGUACACAUAUGUACAAGAAUAAUAAAAAACGUAUAUUUUAUUUUGCUAAUUAUUAUAAUUGACCAGCUUAAUCAGAGAUUGCCUAAAUGCGAAUAGGCGUAAUUAAUUAGAAAUCUUUAUGAUUCCUAAGGAGUAUAGAACAUUUAAUCUUGGUUUUUUUAACAUAUAAUAUUUUAAUCUCCUCGUCUCAUGCGUUGCAUGAGACAAAGAGAAAAAGGGUAUGGAAGAUGCUUUCUCAACAAAGACAAAUAGGCGUAAUUUUAACUUUCAAAGGUAGAAGACGCUCAACGAAGUGACGAAGAGGAAGAAAAUAGGGUAGAUAGGAGAGAGGGUAUAGAGUAAAGUGGUGUGUUGAACGAGGCGUGAGGGGAAAAGGAAUAGACUUUUUUAAUUGUCAUGCUGGAAUAACCUACUUUUGAUUGGGAUAAAAAAUUUAUAUCAAAAUUUGGCUUAUUUUGGAGAAUAACAAAGAUAAAUAGUUUUAUUUCUCAGUAAUCCCGUUACCAAACGAAGCCUAAGAGAAUAGUGUAUAAUAGGGCUAGAGUAUUUUUCUAGCCAUUUUUGGAAGGAUAUGUUCGAACUCUUGAGGAUAAGAUUAAAUAUCCAGUACUCCUACUAUCCAAAAUCUAAUAGCCAAAGAGAAAGGAUAAACAAAUAUCUUAAAACUUAUUUACGGUGCUUGUAUUUUCAAUAUACUAAGAAACGGUCAUAUUGGCUAUCAUUUGUGGAAUAAUGGUAUAAUUCAAAUUCUAAUUUCUACUCUCACGUUAAUAAUAUAAGUCAAAUAUUUAAGGAAAACAUACCAAAUGUAUCCUUAUCUAGUUAUAGGGAGAAUGAAGUGGAUUGAUAUUGCAGAUGCAGAGGCAGUAAUCAUUUCUUUUUUUAUUCUUCCUUUUCUAAUGCUUUUUUUUUUAUUUUCUUUGUGUUUAUAUUUAUAUUUUUUUAUUUUUCACAUUCUAUUUAUUUAUAAACUUAUGAAUUGAGAACCACAAAAGCCUCUCCGCGUUUCAGGGCAGAGUGGGAUUCACCACACCUUAUUUUUUGUAUGGGACCUAUCUAUCCUCUCUCUUUCCCCUUUUUUUUUCUUCUACACUCUAUCGUCAGUAGUCUCUCUCACACUUCCUCACCUUUUUUUAAGUACAUUUCUCACCCUCUCCCUCACUUCACCUUCUCCCAUCAAUUACACACAUAAGAGAAAGAGAAAGAGAAAGAGAGAGAAUUAUAGCAAAAAAAAAUUAUAAAACUAUGAAUUGAGAACCACAAAAGCCCCUCCGCGUUUCAAGGGAGAGUGAGAUCCACCACAACUUAUCUUUUGUGUGCGACCUAUCUCUCUUCUCUCUCUCUCCCAUUUUUCUUUUUUUUUCUUCUCAUAGUUCCUCACCUUUUUUUUACAAUACAUUUCUUAUCCUCUCCCUUCACAUUCUCCCAUCAAUCACACACACAAGGAAAAAAGAGAGAGAGAGAUUUAGAGCAAAAAAAAGAAAAAAAUCCCAAACCCAAAGCCCUCAUCUUCCUCCUCCUCUUGAUCCUCUUUUCCCUCACCCCCUCUCACCACUACGAAGAGGGAGAAAUGAAAGCCCUAAUUGUGGCGCCCGAACUUUCCAGGGACCACUCAUCUUAGGACUACUUCUAUCCUAACACACUUAACUCUCUUAACCUCUUGAGCAUAGCCACAGCCCAAAAUGCUUAAGCCGAAUUAAGAGUUUUAGCCCUGUUAUAUCUUAUAUAUAGGACUAUCUGAAGCCUCACACUAAUGGUGGAUCGAAUCCAUAGUAGCCUCUGGCUUUUCGUGCACCGCAACGUCAUUUUCCUCUAUGGUCACCUUUGUACCAAGUUCUUCACUUAGGUGCUCAUUUCUUAUCCACUAUUUUUGUCACGCCCCGGAUUCCUCGUUUCCCCAGGCACGCUAACAAACCCGCCAUAUACAUAAGAAUUUUUUCUGUAUACGAAGCGAAGCUGUACAUGUACCUGUAAUCAUACAACACUACAACCAGUAGUAUAGAGCUGCUAGAAAGGAAUAAACCAUAAUUAAAAAUAGAAGUUCAUUAUACAUACAUAACAUCCAGGUGUACAAAACAUUCGUUCUAACGAGAUACAACAUAAGUAUGUAUAAGAACUCAAAACUACCACUAUCUGUAGUUGGUAUACUCUAGAUCAGCAGCAACUGGGAAGGGAUCUAACUCACGACUCCCUUUCCACGAUCAGAAUCCAUAGUAGCAGCAGCCGCAACUAAAGGCUCUGCAAAAGAUUCAAACAACUGGGCGUGAGAACUACUGCAAAAAUAAGCAGUCCUCAGUGGGUAUCGCCCUCAAACUCAUCGGCUCACCCACCAAGUCUACGGAUGUAUGCUCAAAUGAUAGUAAGGGAACUGAAAACAAUCUACAGCUACAUGCCACUAUACUAUCAUGAUCCGACACUACUAUUUGUAGAAUAAGACAAGCUCUGAUCCAAUCUCACUAGGGACUGUGAAUACACCCGUCCUAUAGACUGUGAAUACACCCGUCCCGCCUGUCGAAGCUAUACAGCUACCUCCACACUAAGCAGUCCGUGGAGAGCAAGUCCAACCAGGACACAACGACACCAACGUAAAACGCAUAAAGCCCGACUCCGGAGUGGCACUCGUGGGCGCUACCCAACCGAGUAUACAAGUGUAUCUCUGUCAAGCUCAAUCAGGCUCUCACAGGCUAUAGUCAAGUAAACAGGGUCCAACUGGUCUAACAACCAAACUCACGUGCUCUCGGCACAAUCUGAUGCAAAAACAGCAAUCUGGGUCCAUCGUCAACCUCAACGGCACCCGACAAUCCGGAACAACCUAAACACUGCUGUAAAAAUAAGCUCAGCAUCCCAGCACGAGAGUAAAUACAUUCUACACUAUCCUAGGUAUCCACCGCCUACAAACUGCGGUGAUACAAACAAACUACGGCUCAUAGAGCUAGAUCUGGUAGUUUAAGCAUAUGACAGGGUAGAAUCGCUGGUUUUCUCCUAAGUCAAUUCCAAGUCCAACAUGUAUCAUUUAUCUAACUUACUACAGCAUGCUCCAAAUUCAGAUUUCGCUUAACAUGCUAAUCAAUAAAUUUGAGUUAAAACAUGAUAUACAAAAGCUGAAAAUAUACAUGUUGACUACGCAAACACUUAGGAGGAGAAUCCGAUGAUUAACCCACCUCUAGCGCUCAGUCCAUGGCAGCGAGGAGAUCACGAAGUUGCCGGAAGCCUCAGCUGAGAACACCCACAACCAACAACUAGGCUACUCGAAGGAUCUAAACAUCAAAAAUACUAAAAUUCCAUCAAUCCACAACAAUUCAGCACUUAAGCUUAAUUUUUCCUCAAUUUCACUGUCAAUUUUACCUUCCAGAGCUCAAAUCAGAUAGAGGAAGGUCCCAAAACCAGUGGGCUAUGCUAGAGUAUCAAUCUCUGGUUCACAAUCCAACUUCUUCAAAGAAUUGUUCCAAGAAAACCACAACAAACUCAAUUUCAGCUCAAACUACCAACAGCAGAGAAGAAUGCGAAAAUGACUGAGCUAGCCUUAACCAAAUUCUGUCAAUUUGGGCUCCACGAAUUUCUCUUGAAGUCUAGAAUCCAACAAACCAAGUUUGACCUCAAUCCGACCUUCCUAUGUCGCACACGAGUCAAAACACCGAAAGUCGUUGCUGGAAUUUGCUGAAACUGCAGUCCACAAGCUUCAAUUUGUGGAAUUUGAAGCAAUUUGAGGAGUUUGAAGGGGUUAGAAUGAAAAAUAUGAGCUCUCUGUGAAGGAGGGAUGAAAAGGCUUCACUGUGGUCGAAUACCAACUAUUUAUAGUGUGUUAGAGUGGUCGGAUAAGCCUCAGGAACAACAAUUGCUAACCUGAGAUUCCAGCAAAAACGACCACUUUCGGGGGCCCAAAAACCCUUUCUAGGCGUCCGAAACAUCCAGGCUACACAAUUGUUCCCCUUCGGUUUCUCCGCCCGCGGUGUGUUGCGCCCAUAACCGGUUCCGGCGAACCUCACCUACCACCAGCCACGUGUCAGCGCAAACGAUACUCACGAAGUGAAUUUUCAGACCCACUUCUGGGCGCCCGGAACUAGGAUCCGAAUUGGCUUCCAGUUCUACUCAGUUCUGCACUCAAGUUCUAGGCGACCCAAACCCUGUUCUGGGCGCCCGAAUCUGACAAAACUCCAGUUUUGCUUAUUUGAGUGCGACGAGUCCAUUUCUGCAUCCAUUUCGUGCAGAAUUGAUUCCGACUCAGUCCGACACUCUCCAGAUGUGUCGACCAGUCACUAAUACUGUAGCCAAUCCUAUCCAAACCUCUGGAACACUGCAAUUUUUCGCAAAUAUUUGGAUUUUUUUUCUGUUUGUGCAUUGUUGUUAUUUUUUUUGGAGAGGCUGAGAUGAUGUUUUGGGGUUUCUAUAACUAAUUCUUUUAGUAGAUCGAGCGGCCGAAUUAGAUGCUAAAUUUGUUCUGCCAAUAGCAAAGGGCCAAGUAAAAUAAUUAAAACUUUAGAGAGACAUACGAAUAAUUAUCUCUAAAUUAAUUUUUCUAUAUAUAUUUUUAAAAGUUAUGAUAGUUUUUUGCUUAAAUUAUCCUUGUAAAGUAUAAAAAGUAUAUAAUUAAAAUUUUGAUUCUCUAAAACUUGUCCAAAGUUAGUAUUUUUUAUCUAAUAAAUUUUAUUUAUAAAACUUAAAAAUUUAUAGGGAAGAAAAUUUACAAAUGAAGCUAGUUAUAAAAUAAAGGGGCUCAUUCUCACGCUUCUUUUUUGCGGAAGUCUAAUAAUUUUGCUUCUUUAACUCUCUUUUGCAGUGCUUCUCAUUUUUUUUAUUAGAUUUUGAAAUUCUCUUAAGUAUUUUUUUGCUUUUACUUUGUAAAAUUGCUUAGAAAAAAUAUAAUAUAACAUGAGUUUUUAUCCUCAUGAAAGCUUCUGUAGGAAUCAACCUGGAAGAAAAUAAGUUAAAUAAAUACUUUAUAAUUGAACUCAUAAGAUAAAAUUAGUAGAGAAAAAAAUCAAAAGGAAAAAAUAACAAUUGUCUUACUAAUUAACACUAAAGACUAUUGAAUUAAAAGUAGAAAAUAAAAUAAAAAAUUGAAAUGACAUUUGAGGGAGAAAGAGAAAGAGGGGUCAUAUAAAUGGCAAUUAUAGGAUUCAAAAAUUUUAGGAGUUAUGAAAGUAGAUAGAGUAAUUUUAAGAAGAAGAAAGGUCUCAUGAAUAAUAGUUAUCUAUUAAGGUGUAGCAUUAAAUUAAGAAUUAAUUAGGAAAACUUUAAUGAGAAAAGAUACAGUAAUUUGAAAAGGCAUGUUAACUUUAUAAGAAAAAAUAUGGUAAUUUAUUUAGUAAGUAAUUGGCCAACCCAUUGAACUUCCAAGAUUAAUUUAUAGGGAAUAACUAUUAACUAUUUGAGAAGUCCAACAGUUUUGUGUACGGUAAUAAAUAAUACUAUAUUAUUAAUUAGUCAUUAUUUGCUUUAUUUCUAUUGCUGUUUUUUUUAAAAAAAAAAAUCCAAAAAAAUGAUGUUGUGCCACAUCAGCUUUUUUUUAAAAAAAAAUUUAAAAAAAUGAUGUUGUGCCACAUCAGCUUUACCUAUUGGGGAUUCAUAUAAGAGUAUAGAUAAGCAAAAUAAUUUACAACAUAAAGAUAUAUUAAGAUAAUUAAGCACAGAUGUUAUCUUAUUGUGAAUUCUAGAAAUAUAAUGCAAUUGAAUGUUGUUGUACUGCCCAAGGUUUCUCCUUACAGUUAGAAAUAGGUCGGCCUGAAGUUUGAUUAUAGUUCUACAUAUUCUCACCAAUAACGUGGGGCCAGAUAAAUUCUCUUUGUAAAGAUAAAAUUUGAGUUCCCUUCAUAUUGUGUAGCACAUUUUUUUUACCGUAUUAUUGUUCGCAGUUUAUUAUUAUGUGAUUCUAUUUUUAUUUCAAUAUAUUGCUCUAUCAAUAAAUAAGAUAGCACUGUAUACAUUUUACAAAUCGCAAGAUAAUAAAAUAUAGUAUUUUACCAUUAUGUUAUUUAUAAAAUAUAUUAUCUUAUUAGUCUGUUUAUUGGUAGGUUAUUGUGAUAGUGAAAUAAAAAUAAAAUCAUUAAAACCAAAUCUAUCUACUUUCCAAUCGAAAAAAGUGUGAAUUUCGAUACUAAUUGAAAACAUGUAGCUAAUAAAUAAUUAAUUUUGGUUAAAUCAUUCAGUCAUUUCACCAUUAUAAUUUAUUCAUCUUCUAUUAGUGUCUUAUUUUAUUGUUUACCUUUAUCUCUUUCUUAUUUUUAUUCUGUCGUUGUUAUAAAUACUUAUGUUUAAUAAGUAAUGGAGUUGUACCGACCGUCCCUAGAGUAAGUGGCAAAGGGCUUGGUGGUUGGUACUCGAGACCCAAGUUCAAAUCCUAGUUGAUUCACAUUUCCAGCUAAGUUUAUUUCUAAAUAAAAUAAACGAAGCGGGUAGCGUGCUAUCUAUCUCCCUAAAAAAAAAGAGAAAAAAGUAAUGGAGUUGUACAAAAUUAUAUAUAAACUAGUAAAGGACCCGCACUUCGCGGCGGGUAAUCAAAUAAUGGUUAGUGUAUCUAUUUUUUUUUUUAUUAAAACAAAAAUCAAGAAAUAAAUCUAAGUAGAACUGAUAUAAUAAUUUGGUAAGCAUAUAAUAAAGUGCUUACAAAAUAAAUAAUAGAACAAAGAAAAUGCAAGUUCACAUAUUCAGUGCACUCCAACAUCGAGUAGAUUCAACUAUAGUUCCAGACCGUUGGAUCGGAACAUCCGCAUAAGCUAAAAAUUUUCCUUCAGCAUCUACUGUCACGACGAACUGCGUCAUCUCCACCUGAAGUUGUUUACAUAUUUCAUGGAGCAACCUAACAUAGGAAAGAUGCACUUUCGACAUACUGGCAGCUACAGAAACGAACAAAGAUGCAAUAGGGAAAGAGCAAGACGGAAGGGGGAAGGGAAAAAAGAGAAAAAAUAGUCAAUAAGUAUAGUAAAUAAUGUAUGAAAUAUAAUAUUGGAGUUAGAGAUAUCAACGGGUCGGAUUCGGGGCGGAUUUUUAAAAACCCGAACCCGAACCCGACUCCAAACCCGAGACCCGAACCCGAACCCGAACCCGACGGAUUUUAAAAAUCCAUAUCCAAACCCGAACCCGACCAAAAAUCCGAAACCCGAACCCGACCCCGAACCCGAAAAUUUGAACCCGAAACAAUUAUUUCUUUUUUCAAUAUUUCAAAAUAUAUUAUAUUAAAUUUAAAAUUUUAAAAUACAAAUUCAAAUAUAACAUCAAAUUUAUAUAUAUAUAUAUAUAUAUAUAUAUAUUAUACAUAAUACAAAAUAAAUUCGGGUUCGGGUCGGGUUCGGGUUCGGGUUCGGGUCGGGUACAAUCAAAAUCCAUAUCCGAAUCCAUAUUCGUCAGGUUUUUAUUUUUUAUAUCCAUAUCCAAAUCCAUAUCCAUAUCCACCGGAUAUAUCCGUUUCAUUCGGGUUCGGGUUCGGAUAAAAUUUCGGCUAUCCAUACCCAUUGACAUUCCUAAUUGGAGUUGUAAAAGCAGGAAAUAAAAUAUUAAAGUUGCUAUUUAUAAACCAAAGAAGUUACUGUUUAUGUUUUGGCCACGCACUGGCAGCGCGGCGAAAAAAACCAAGGAAGUAUGGGUGCCACGAACAACUCAAACAAUAAAGAUGUUGUUUAGGUUUUGCUCGGGCACCGGUAGCGCCGCGGUAAACCAAGGAAUAAAAUUGAGUGUUGAAAAAGCAGGGAAAAAAACACUAAAGUUGCUAUUUAUAAAAAAAUGAAGAUGUUGUUUAUGGUCUGGGGACGCACUGGCAGCGCGGUGACACGGGCACCAGCAGCGUGGAGAAAAACCAAGAAAUCAAAUUGAGAGUUGAAAAAGCAGGGAAAAAACACGAAAGUUGCUAUUUAUAAAACAAUUAAGAUGUUGUUUAUGGUCUGGGCAUGCACUGGCAGCAUAGUGAAAAACAGAUGCGAAGACCAGAAAAAUAAAGAAAUGCAAAUGCAGAAUCGGGAAGAAAGAAGCAGGCACAUUUUACAUUGGAAGUAGGGGUGCCAAUUAAAGUAAAUAGGCUCAGAUUGUGUUGGAUUGUAAGACAUGCCAUCGCAAAAAAAAAAAAAAAAAAACCGACUGUUAAAGUGGCAAACGAACAAUGGCCACCGAAUAUAUGUCCAAUUUUCAUGCAAUAUUCGCGCACGCACCACAAGUAGGAGCGGUUGUCCGCGCAUGGGCCAUCCAAGCUCGUCAGUUGCGCCGGCCUUGGUUUGUAGAUACCCAUAGAAAAUCUGCAGCUGUGCAAUUUGGGUAAAAAAAUAUUUUGAAAGUAGGAAAGCUACAAAUAGGCAAAAACAUGUACAACCAAAUCCCAAAAUGAACAUUACCGAUAUCGAGGGCUUUAAUUACAAAUUAACCCGAAAAUACUCAAUAGCAUAGCAGGCCAAACGCAUUGGUUGUGCCUAACCUAGUUUUUUAUUUUUUAGCCCCACCGCACAUCAUCACAUCCGUUGAAAAAACCAACAAAAGGAAUAAAGUGAAAAAAAAAAGAUGGAAAAAAGCAGCAGAAUAAAUAAAUUCCAUUAAACCAGAAAAAAAGAAAAGACAAUAUUAAUUAGAACACUGUGAAAAAAAUAAUAAAGAGAAAAAAGAAAAAAAUCCAAGGCUGAAUAGCAAACAAGAGUAUGAUAAAAAAGCGGGGAUAAGCGGCUAACUGCUAACCGAACACUAACCGAGGCGUAACUGCACCAACCAAAUGUGCAGAUGCGAGUGGUUGCCCGCAAGCGGGCCGUCCAAACUCCGUGCGUGCAUCACAGAUGUGAGGGAGGGCAGUACUAGGUAGUUGCCCAUAUAGGGACACCUCCCCACCCAAAUAAUUGGCUGUGCAUGGCCCAAUCUCCUUGUUGCCAAGUAACAUCACCAUCUCGCCGAAAUUUUUUUAAAACAUCAAGAACAUGCAGACAAAAAGUAAAUAAAUAAUGUAAAUAGUCAACGUUAUCUAGUGCAGAUUAUGGGAAUAAGUAUGCCACAGUUAAAGCCAGCAUGUACGAUUGUCUAAGCGAAAAGGACAAAUGAAGCACCAAAGAAGGAGCCAAGAGCGGUUGCCCGCUUGGCGGGCCGUCCAAACCUGCUUAGCAAUGACAGAGACAUUUUUUUUUUCACUUGCACAUCAACAGGGUGUAAAAAAAUAUUUAAAAAAACCACCAGCAAUCUAAAAAAUUGCUCGACAACGGCAAAGCCAAUUUUUUUCUCACUUGCAUAUCAACAGGGCCUUAAAAAAACUUAAAAAAACCACCAGGGAUUAAAAAAAAAUCAACGAAAGAUCAGAAAAAAUUAUAAAAAUAAAAUAAACUGGUAGGAAUCAAACUAAACAUGCAGGAAAGGGAUGUCUGUGAAUAGGACGCCCAAAAUCCCCCCCCAAAAAAAUGACAAUGACAAAGCCUCUUAGUAUAUUCAAAAAUCAAGAAAAUGAAAUUCAAUCAAAAUAAGGAAAAUACCCUUAGAAAGGCGGAAAUUUAUAGACACCUAAGUAACAAAAGACUGAAGAAAAUUUAUGGUGUGCAGGAGAUUAAACAACAGACUGUAGAAAAGUUGCGGUGUGUAGGAGGUUAAUAGCUAUGUAACAAUAAAAUGCCAGUUUUUAUCUUUUAUGCUUCAAAAAGACUUUUAUCCCACCUUUAUAUUUGUGUACAGAAACAAUCUGUACUGUGUUGAAAAGGCUAGCCUAUUUAUAGAAAAGCUAUAGAAGGUCAGAAGAGAAAAGAAAAGGAAGACUUAAGCAAUGUCCAUCAUCUCUCUCAGUAGAUUCAAAAAAAUUAAGAAAAAAUAUAUCUAUCACAUCGUUGCUGUCGAAUCAGUGGGCUGGCAAAGCCCUCAAAGGAAGACGGAGAAGAGAAAGAAGAUAGUAAAGAGUAGCACCGGCGACCAGGAGGGAGAGGAGGUAACAGCGACCGUUGGAUCGGCGAGCAUAGCAACCUGAACCAUUGGAUCGGCCAAGUAGGGUAGGUGUAGGCGACCAAAUCAUGAUGCCUAACGAUGGACAGCUCAGGCAUCGGAGGAGCGAAGGGAGGAGAGGAUAGAGGUGAGAGAGAAGAGAGGAGAGAGAGAGAGAGAGAGGCGGUGAGAGAGAGAGAGAGGCGUCUCGAGAGGGAGAGAAAGAGGAGAUGAGAGAGAGAGAGCGGCACUUCGGGUAUCGGAGGAGGCACGUGCAAGGAAUGUGUGGAGGGGAGGGGGAAGGGAGCCAUCCGAUGAACAAAAUGGACGGCCCGAAUUGAGCGCCUGUUGGAGAAGGGAAAGGGCACGUUUCGGGCACCUUUGGAUUAUUAGAGGUGUAACAUACCGGACUUCUAAAGUUAUGAAGUCACGGUGUAUGUUGGGUUGGAAAACUAUUUGAAUGGUUCCAGUGAGGUUCGGUGAAGUUCGGAAGCUUUCGGGCGUUUCGGUGCGCGUAGGCGCGAAAACGGAACCCGAAAGGCUAUGUUGGGCCGUGAGCUAAGUUCGGCAUUAGCGUGGAUGAAAAGAUGAUGGAGACAUGUUCGAAAAUAUGUUUGGAGAAUGUAACAUAUUGGAACCCAGAAGGAAUUAUCGAACUUUAGCCAAAUCGACUCAAGUAUGCGAAGAAGAUGGAUGGACAAGUCCCAAUUAACAUUCCAACACUGUUGGAAGGGUUAAAAGUAAGCUCUUAAAGAGUUGGAAGGGUUUUGGCAUUGAACGGCGUGAAGUAGAGCGGAAUCGAAGUCAAAAAUGACAUUCUGGAUAUGUUGUACUGGUACAAGCCCAAUGGUUGUACCGGUACAACCAGCGAAGCUCUCGGGUUGGAGCUGCCAGGCCUUGUACCGGUACAAGGGGCCUUGUACCGGUACAAGCCCUGCGUAACCGAGAGAACCAGCUCUCGGGUUGGGCUGUCUGCCAGGCCUUGUACCGGUACAAGACCCCGUGUACCGGUACAAGGAGCCCGAACAGCGGGAGAUGUUUCAGAUAUGGAAAAAAUAGAGGGGUUUAAUUGCAAAUAUGCCUAUAUGAGGGCUGGGGGUCCACUCCUCUCUUAUUUCCCUCUCUUUUCUCUCCCUCUCUCACACCUCUCUUGCUCUCUCUCUCUCUCUAAACCGAAAAGAGAAAGAAAGAAGAAGAAGAAGAAAGGAAGGAGAGGAAGAACAAGAAAAGAGGAGGAAAGGAAGGAGAAGAAGUUAUUGAAGAGGAGAGUCCUCUUCAUCCUCUUCUCCUUGUGCAAGAGAACAAGCUUGGUUGAGGUAAGCUUUGAACUCUUUAAUUGUAGAUCUCUAAGGAGUGGGAUUUAAACCAUAGAUCUUUGGUUUUGAUCUAAUUACAAGUGUAGAAACAUUCUAGUAGCCAAGAACACCAUGAAAUCCAUGGUUUCUCAUGAUGCUCUAAUGGUGGAUUUCUAGGGUUUGUUCUAAACACCCUAGAAAUGGUUCGAAUGCUCCUGGUUGAGCUCCUAGGUGAUAAACAAGCUCUCUUUUGCUUGUUUUAUAGAUCGAAUCCGGAGUAUUGAGCAUAUACCACAUUAGGGCAUUCCAAAGAGGGGUUUUGCUCAUGUGGGGUUUUGAUCUAUUUUGACCCCUUGGAAACCUAAUUGGGGACCUAACAAACGCGUUGGCGAAGUCGGUUUAACCAUUCGUCGAGUGUACGCGAAGUUAUUGACAAAAUAGUAUUUUGUCGUACAGAUGGCCGCAGCACGCGAAAUAAACGCAUAAAAAUCGUGGGAUCGGAACCGGAGCACCUUGGAGUCAAGGAAUAAGCACCGGAAAAGACGGAUCGCGAUUCGGAGGUCGUUCGCUAGACGCGCAAGAGUUCGGGCCAAACCGGGCAACGGUUGUCGCGGGAGGCCGAUUGCAAGUGAUUACAAGCAAUCGGAGCGCAAAUUAAGGUGGGUUGUGUUUACCGAAGCGACUAGGUCGCCCUUAUUUCUAAGAAAUGUUAAAAAUCUAUGUUGACGCAUAUAAAUGUAAUUAGGACAUGUAUAGGAUGCAUAUAGCUAAUGCUAAUUAAAGUAUGUUGGUAGUAUGUGUAAAAUGCUAUGUAAAUGCAUGACGAGCAUUGUGAGACUAUAUAUAUGCAUAUAAACUAGAAUAAUGCAGGUAAGCACAAUGCAUAGAAUAAAUUGCAUGAUGAUGACAUAUUCAUGUAGAAAUGAAUGUUAGAUAAAGUGCAUGCGAAUAUAAGAUGCAUAUUAAGUAAACACAUGAACUAUGUGCAUGAAAAAGAUGAUAUAUAAGUGCAUGAUUGAGAUGCUAAUGAUAAAUGCAUAAGACAUAUGCCUAGAUAUGAAUGUGAAAUAAGAUUAAUGAACUCUAAGUAGAGUAAAGAAUUUGACAUUGUAAAUUAAGAAUAUCGAGUGGCAUGUCAAUUGAGAAUCCUAAGUAUAAAUAACUAGGAUGAUGAGUGGCAAUGAAACCUAGUGUCAUUGAACAUAGGUUAAUGAGAAAGACAUUGCGCCUCAUGUUAGAGAACAUAGGUUGAGAGUUCAAGUUAAUGAACCUAGCGUUAAAUUAAACCUAGGAUAUGCGAUACAAGUGUUAAACCUAGAGUCAAGUAAACCUAGGUUGGAAAGGACAAUGGACCUAAGUAGGUCGACACUAUAGGGUUACAAGACCAACCCUUGAGUUAUGUAAAGUGGAUUCCGGAAUCCUGGCUGCGAGUGCAGCGGCUGCUAGUGCAGCAUAUGAGCUCGGAAGUUCUUGGUCGCGAGUGUAUGUGGCAAGGUUCCUCUCCCAUCGGAAGAACUUCGAGGUUUGUGAUCGAGCAAGAACAGUGAGCGCUAGGGUGUAUGUGGCAUGUUCCUCUCCCUAUCGGGGAUCUCGGCUGCGGGUGUAUGUGGCAUGUUCCUCUCCCACCGAGGGAUCCCUGACCACGGGGUACGCUAGGCGACCCGUUGGGCGAUGUGGUUCUUGGUCUGUAGGCUGAGGUGCAUGCGAGAGUUCCUUCACCUCGAGCCGGACAGAGCGCGGUUUAUCCGCUGUUGAUUGACUCAAGAUCGAGUCGGGUGGCAUAGUGUGACCGAGGUAUAUAUAACCUUAGGAAAGAAUGGCAAGUAAAGAGCAAAGCUAGCUAAGAAUAAAGAAUGGCUAAAGAAUGAGAAUAACAAAAGAAAAGAAUAAAGAACGGCUAAUGUAAAAGAAUAGCUAAUAAAGUAAAGAAAUGUUACGAGUAAAGAAUGGCCGAGAAUAUAAAGUAGGACAAAGUAAUCUACUUGCAUAAGUACGGGGUUUGCAUAUUGCAUUUUGGGAGGCAGGACAUCUUAGUUCAAUAUCUGCUAUAUAUCUGUUAUAUGUUAUUGGACUAACUUGUUACAGGGCCUCAUUAGACAUAUCGACCGAGCUUUUUCCUUGGGUGGCCAUACCCACUGGGAACCAUGGAGUUGGUUCUCACCCCACAUUGUUUUGGGGUGUUUACAUGUACACACGUGAGCGGCGCGGCGGCGCGAGGCAAGGGCGUAGCUCCGUAGAUAGCGCCCUACCCCAGAGACCGAGGUAGCAGUACCCGAGUUGGUGGUCUAGCUUGGGAGGUUUAAAGACAAGAACAAACUUUUAUCAAGUUGUAAGAUUUGGAAUUGUAUUCGGAAGCUUAAUGUAAAAGAAAAUUAUGUUGUAAUAGCUUAGUAGUUUUAUGUUUUUGAUACUUCCUUAUGCAAUCUAUGAAUGAAUACUGCUCCUGUUUGGAACCUCUUGUAUUGAUUGCGACGCUUUGGACGUACAGGGGAGACUCUGUCCGCGGCACAGGAAAACCCUGUCCGUUCGGCGGUCUGUUAACGUGCCCGAACCCGACCAAAUAGGCGGGGCACGGGGCGUGACAAGAGGGCUGUGGUAGACCGUUGGAUCUGGAGCAAAAGAAGGGGCAAUGAGAGCCUGCCACGUGGCUGAAUAGGAGUCUCAAAUAGUAAGAUUGUAUAGAACAUAAAAUCAAACAAGAUUAUUAUACUAAACUCGCAAAAUAUUGUAAUCAGAUUUAUGAUGCUUUUAUAUAUUUUGAUCCACAUCGAGAUCCACAGAAAGCCGAUCUUACAAACUUGAUAAAAUCUAAUAUGCAAUUUGCCUUUUCUUUUAUUGUAAAAUCAGCUAGUAAAAACCAACGUAAAAUUAAAGACAUUCAAAAUUCGUUAAUUUUACAUACAAAAUAAAAUUGUGGCGAAUUAAAUAAUAAACGAAACUAAUAAAAACUUUUAAAGGAAGUAUUUUUUUUUAAAAUCAGGAUAAUACAAUUAAUAAGAUAGGACUUGCACGCGAAGCAACAGUAUAGUAGGAUCCAAGGUGAAUUCAAUUUUUUAUGAUUUGGUCCUUCUCUCUUUUGGGGGGUAAAAAAUUAUUACAUACGAAAUUGUAUCCUACAAAUCUGUAAAAAUAAAAGGGAAACAUUUAAAGCUUUAAAUAGAACCUAAUUUUUCUGAUUGCAGCAACAGUUCUGUACGAUUCAAAGAGCAAUAGAAAGAAAGCAGAUUAUUUCGAACAUUACUUUUGAUCUUGAAAUUAUAAGUAGUAACUUUUCUUACAAAUACAAUCACCAUCUUUCUGCUCAUUUUCAUAUAUAUUAGUUUAGACAUAUUUUGAAUCUAUAACUUAUUUAGAAUUUUUGAUAAAAAAUUAUAUAGGAGAUGCUCAAACUUAUUUAGAAUUUUUGAUAAAAAAUUAUAUAGGAGAUGCUCAAUACUUUGUGAUCAAAAUUAGCUUUAAAAUUUUUGUAUUUAAUAAAACCAAAUAUUUUGUACUAAAGCAUUGACUUCAUACUGAUGCUUUUCUUCCGGUGCUCUUCUUUGUAUUUAUUAAAAAAAUUAUUUUAUAAAUAAAAAUAUUUUAUUAUUUACAAAUUAUCUAUAUAUAUUUUUUUUGUCGCAUAGCAGGGGUUAUUUCACUAGUUUGUAUGAAAAGAAAAUAGGAGAAAAAACCAAAAAAUUAGAAAAAAAAAUAAAAUUUGUCUUUUGGAUUGAAACAUGAAGAGAACUUAAAAUAUGGAAAGAGAAUAAAAGAGAAAUAGAGAGAAAAUCUCCUAAUAUAACUGUUAAUAUUCUUUUUCUCCCAAAAAAUUUAAAGAGAGAGAGUAUAUAUAUGUAUAUAUUUUCUUUUCAUUCAAACAACAUGAUUUUUUCCAUCACAAACAAAAAAAACAAUAUGGUUUUAGGAUAGGUUUUUAAAUACCUGAAUCUAAACCCGACUACCAAAAUUGAAACCCGAAUCCAAAUUCGUCGAACUUUGAGAAUCCAUAACCAAAAAUGAUCUUGACAACAAACCGAAAUCUGAAAUCUAGUCCAAAGACUCGAACCAUAAAUAUGAUAUAAUAUAAAUAUCUUUUCCAAAUUUUAAAAAAUAUCAUACUCAAAUAUAAAUUUUCAAGGUGUUGAUGCCAAAAAAUUAGGCAGGAAAGGUUGAGAAGUGGGUUGUAAAUUACGCGAUUACGGCUACAACACUCCCCCACUAUUAAAAACGAUCAAUAAUGUAAGCUGAGAAGACAUCAUUAUAAAUAGUAAUUUCAAAGCCUGUUAAAGAGGUCUUCUCUCUCAUGAAUGAGAAGACCACUGUAUUUUCAAUACUUCUACUUUCUACAUUUAUCGUUUUUCUAUGAGUAGUUUACUUGUAAUUCUUUUCUUUUUUUCGCAUUUACUGUCUUUUUUAGGAAUAGUUUGUAGAGUAGAUUUUCCUUUGAGAUCGUACGUCAUGAUAGCGUACUCUCUUUUGUAAACAUUUUUCUGAUUUUGAGUAAUAUUUGAGCUUUCGGCUCUUUACCCGAACCUGAGAUCUCUGUGUAGUCCAUACACUCGGUUGAUCCAGCUGAACCAGAUUUAUUGUAUUGAGACGUGGUCCGAUCUCUCAUAAACCGAAUCGUUUGAUCUGAUUAAGGGCGCAAACUUCGAGAGUCAUUAUUGUAGUCGUUUCGCCUCCUCGCACGCUUCACGAAGGAGGAUCUUUGACCGGGUCAGCGGUUGAAGGAUUCGGCUCGCAACACAAGGUACAAUUUCAAAUAUUUAAAUACAAUAUAAUAUAAAUCGGUUCAGAUACAGGUUCGAAUUUGGGUCUGUAAAGAUUAAAUUCAUAUCUGAACUUAAAGACAUCGUGCUUUCAUAUUUUAUAUAUACCUAUAACCGGAAAAAUUCUAGAAUGCAAUGGGUAUAUUGAUGACAUGGCGUAACAAACCAAUCAAAAAAUUCUUUUUAGAAAUAUAUGUUCCAUCGUGAUUGUAAAAAAAUAUUUUUAUUGUACUUUUGUUUGAAAAAAAGAAAAGGUGAUUGGCUUGUUAUUGAUGACGUGGUGCAAGUGUGAUAGUAUAGAAUUCCUCCUAUAAUCGAAGGCCUACUUGUCUAGCGUCGAUUAAAUUUAUUUUUUUUAUUCAAAUUUAAAUAAUAUUUUAGAUAUCCGUACUCAUUGACAUUUUCAUUUUAUUCAAUGGAAAAGUUUAGAAUUUUUUUUUUUGGGUCCCCACCAAACUCUUCAAAAGAAAAGUCCAACACCACGAAACUAAUAUUGUGGGUCCCACACAGUACAUCUCAGCUUCCUAAAAACCAAUAAAAUAAAUAAAUAAAUAAAUUAAAGGCUCAAAAAAAAAAGCAUAAAAGCCUCUUCCCCCCUCUCUCCCCUCGACAAACAUCGUUUACUCAAUAAAUCCCCCAUUUUCCCCCUUUUUUUUUUUAAUAUUGGUUUUGUGCUCUCCUACUAGGGCAAAGAAACCCUAGCUACGGUUCUCGCCGACGCGGGCGAAAAUGUCGGCGUCCGACUCGGAGAAGAGGGCGGAGGAGGGCGAUAGCGACGGCGGCGGCGGCGGCGGCGAAGGUGGCGGCGGCGCCGUCGGCGGGGAGCUGCUGUACUGUGGGGGGACGAGUUGGGAGACGAUGGGGCGCAAGGUCGUGGGCGGGGCCACGGGGAACCUCGUCGCCCCCACGCGGCUCCGGCCCCUCGUCGGCGUCGACGUGCGCUUCGUCGCCUCCGGAUGCAGUGAGUUCGUGUUCUCUCCCCCUCUCUCUCUCUCCUCUCUCUUGCGCAUUCGAUGAUCGAUCUCUCUCUUACAUUUGCUGAUGUUGUUGUGAUGAUGGUGUUGAUUGCUAUGUGUUUAUAGGUUUAACUUGUUUGAAAUGCUGAGUUGGGUUUGGUUUUUACUUCAUGUUGGUGUAAAGAUGCGUUCUUGAUGUGUGAUUUCCUUGAAUACCAUGUGUUUGUAAACUGUUCUUGUUAGUUUGCUCUUCUCAAUGUGGUGGAACUUGGAUCAAGAGGGAUUCUUGCUGGUCUAAAGCUUAAGUUUUGAUUGAUGGUCUGUUGAUAUGACAGUUUCUCGAAUACCAUGUUUCUAGCGAAACUUGUUCUGCUUGGAUGAGUUCAAGGCUGUUAAGUAAUUCUUGUGAUUCUUGAGGAUGACGGUGUUUAGAAAUGCACUCUGAAAGAAAGGAUGUUAUGAAGUGGAAGUGUGAGAAAAUGAUGUGAGUUGUGAAGUAUUGCUGCAAAAUGUGAGAUAUGUUUUUCUUUUUCUCAUCUUGUUAUAUUACUUCCUCUGUGGUUUUAAUUAAAGUUGUGGAGCUGCGGAUAACACAAUGGCAAUCCAGAUCAUGAAGUUUGAUAGGAAACUUCGAAACUGAAACUGAGAUGUUCCUUCUUUUGGCUGGUGUCAACUGGGAACUAUGGUCUAGAACCAGUUGAAUAUUAACUUCGGUUAGAAUGGUCUAGAAAGGUUUAGGACUACAGCAUAAUUUACGUAUUUCAUUUUGUUGUACUCUGUCCUUUUGAGGAAACGACAGUUUGAUAUUUAUGUUGUUUUUGUUUGUUUUGUUUGUUUUAGAAGUACUGAAUUCUUCAUGUCGUUUGUGUAAAAUGUAAAUGCAUGCGUUUAAUUGUUUUUGUCGAAAGCAUCUCCUUGUUGACUAUUUAGCAUAACUAUUGCAGCUGCUUGUCACUGUGUGGCGUUGGAUGUUGAAGGUCGCUGCUAUACUUGGGGAAGAAAUGAGGUAGAGUUACUACUUGAAAAUAAUUGCACGUUGUCAGAUGUUUUACUCUGUGAUAUUCUUGCAGAAGGGGCAGUUGGGGCAUGGGGACACUCUUCACCGUAGCUUGCCAACAAUUGUGUCUCAACUAUCAAAGUAAGAUUGCUAAUUCGUCGUAUUUUAAUCUUGUUACUUGGUGACAAGCUGGAUUGGAAUGUAUAAUCAAAUAUUUAUGGUUUUUUUAAAAAGUAAGCAUGAAGAAAUUUUGGCAAUUUGUAUUUGUAAGGAUAUGAUAUCAUAUAACUUUUGUGUUCUGCUUUUUGACUUGCUUAUUUGUAUUCAAACUGAUAUGUAAUUUAAGAUAUUUCUAAAAUAUCAGAAAAUGUGCAAGUACAGUACCUGUAUGCUAGUGAUAACAUAUCUUUGUAACGAAUCUCUAGAAAAUCUAUAGGUCCAUAGAGGCUUGAUGUUAUUUUCUGUAUUUAAAGGCAUUCAACUUUGCCAUUAUUUGAUUCUUUUUAUUUCGUUGUGAUUUUUUCUUUUGCUUACCACUUUGAAGUUUCCUUCCUUAUCUGAGUCAUUAUAACAUGACUUUUUUAACUUAAAUUUUCCCUUUUCAUUGUCUUAAUUGUUGUUAUCGGGAUGAUACAUAGAAUGCAGUAUGAUUUGUCAAAUUUGAAUGGUAUAGAUUAUCAUGAUUAUUCAUGAAAAAAUAACCUUGCAACAAGUUUCCAAUUAAGCAUCUGAUCACCUCGACUAGUGUCAACAUCUUGCUAAAAUUGAGGAAUUUGAUACAUUAGUAUGAGUUUUUAUGUAUCUCAAGCAUUCGUUGCAUAAAAUGACAGUUACAGGCUAUUCAAUUUGAUGAAAACAUUCUUUGUUUGGCACAUCUAGCGUUUUCCAAGAUUUCAGUAGGUCUAACUUCUUUCCAAAAUGCAAAAUUACGUCUUAGAUGCCAAAUAUUGCGAAAAUUGCCCUUAUGCUUGAGGUUUGGCAUGAGAAGUGAAAUGUGGAUUAUGACUAGAACAAAGGUGCACUCUUCUAAUAGUUGUUGUCAUAAUAUAUGUAUUUUAUUUUUUUCUAUGCUUUGAUCCAUGGCAUGUCGUAAUUAUGUAAGAGCUUCCCAUGCCACAAACAUUUCGUUUUGUGUAAUAUAUGGUAUGUUUACAUCUUUUUGAGUAAUAAUAGCAGUCUGGCAGUCUAUGCUGAUCCAGUACGAAAGUUAAGCCUGGAUGUACUCAAUCUCUUGUGAGAAGUUGAUUAUUUUACUUGAGAUGGCCCAGGGAAUUGAUUUUUUUUGUUUCUAGAGUUCUCAGGAAGAAUAUCUUGUGCGCUUUCAUCUGAUCCAUUAGUUCUUGUGGAGUACUUUUUGUUGUCUAUGUGCAUGUUAAUUGAAGGUCAAAUGUUUCUAUCGCCUUCCAGUUCUCUACAUUCUAGUUUUCUACCUUUUAAUGUACUAUAUAUAUCAGGGCAUGAAGUUAAUAUCCCUGAUAAUAUAGGACAAUUGAGAGUAGAUCCCUAUCUAUUUUUCUUUUGAUUGAGAUCCCCUCAAACUUUUAAUUCUUUGAUUUACACUGUUUUCAUCAGUUAAACUAGGAAAUUUGAUUUAAAAGUGGUUCUAUUAUAUUUAAUUGUUCUUCAGCUAAUAGAAUUGCAGAUUUUGCUAACUGGUAACAACUGAUAGUUAACUGAUAAGUUAAUAUUUAUGAACACCCAAUGCAAUUUAGGAAAAUAACUUAAAUUAAAUAAAACAAUUAGAAGUUGAGCGGGUGUCAAUCAAAAGAAAUUUGGUUGAGGGGUCUUUCAAAAUCUCCUAGACUUGAGACCCCCCAUCUAUAUUUGCCUUUAAUUUUUCACCUCAGUACAGUUGAGCCUUAGAGGAUGUUAGAUUCCUCUACUGAAUACGGGCUGAUUUGAAGUUCUUGAUGAUGCAGAUACAAAAUUGUAAAAGCCAGUGUGGGAAAGAACCACACUGUAGUUGUAACUGAAGAUGGAAAAUCAUUCUCAUUUGGCAUGAAUAAGCAUGGGCAGUUGGGGACAGGUUCGGUGAAGAAUGGUUAGUACUAUUGGACUGUCUAAUUACGCUUAUCAUCCAUGUCUGUAUCCUAAAGUUUUAAUCCAAUAAUUGAAAAUGGUUUUAGUUUGUAUGCAGUAUGGGCAAGAAUAUUCGGCAGUCAAAAUAUUAGAGUAUUGCUUAUAAUGAAUUAUGAACAGGGUGAAAGGAUGGGGCUAACAUAAUAUGUCAGGAUUUUGCUAAUUUUUCUUUGAACAGAUAAAUGUAUCUAAGUUUUAUUUCUGGAAGCAUAUUGAUGGCAGUAUGUGACUUAUGACAAAAUCAACCAAAUUCUUGAUGUCUCUUGUCAAUUUUCCAUAUUAGUGUCUUCAAACCUCGAACUUGUCUUAUUUGGGUUUGGGUAACUAUAUAUGUUUAUGCUGCACAAUAUUUACAUAUGUAUAUCUAUGCUGUAAUUGUCUAACUCCAAUGAAAUAUGAGUCAUUGUAGGGCAACUAAGUUAUCCAGAUCUAACAGGUUUUAUGUGCUAUCAAUUGUGAGCCAAUAAAUAGCUUGGAUAGCAGAUCCUGUCAUUCUACAUGUUCUAUUGAUAUUUUGUAUAACUAGUGAGAUGCAUGUGAGGGUUUUUUAGUGCAAUAGUCUUCUCCUAAAAUUUUAUUCUAAAAAUAUACCUGUUAAAUUUUUAUUUGUAAAUAUGGUCCUAUAAAAGCGGUGAAUGGUUCACCGCUUUUAAAAGCGGUGAACCAUUCAUCACUUUCUUUCUUUUUUUAACUUCUUUAUAUAUUUUUACGAUGGUAAGAGCGGUGAAUGGUUCACCGUUUUUAUUCUUUUUCUACUCCUAAAAAGGAGUAAUGAAUGCGGUGAAUCAUUCACCGCAUUUAGAGGUCUAUUUUUAUAAUUAUUUUUAAAAAAAAACUAUUUUUACAAUUAUAAAAAUUGAUUGGAUUAUUUAUAAAAAAAAUUCUGCAUGUGACCUAUUUCUGUUUCAGCAACAAAUCCAUUGUUAAAUAGAUCAACAUCUAGGUUGCAUGGACACAGACGCAUGACACGGGACACGACGUGAUGACUCAUCAACUUUGAAAAAAUGAGGACAUGAACACAAUUGCAACACAGCUAAUAGAUAUAAUAUUUUUUAAAAGAUUAUAUAUCUAAAGACUGAUCGAUGUGCCAAAGUACUAAAAUUCUAAUUUUUCUCACCUAUCAAAAGAAAAUGAUCUUCUUUAAUUGGUAUAUAUAAAAAACUAAACGAUUUUAGGAAUUUCAAAUGUAAAACAUAUCUUUAACUCAAAGAAUCAGCUAUGCAACAUAAAAUAGUACAAUAUUUCAACCGAUGAUUGCUUAAACAACUAUAUAAGAAAUAGGAAAAUAAAUGCAUAUAUUCUCUUAGAUUUUUGUAUUUUGCAAAUGCAAUUGACGUACUUCAAAGUUGUAUUGCAUGUGCAACGCCAAGAGGGACAUGCAAUUGGCACAUGAAGUGACUAAGAGGAUAAAGGACACAGAAUGGACGUGUCUGUGGAAUGUCUGCCAAGGAAGGCUGUUCAACAUGGACACAACAUGGACACGACAACAUGUGAGAAGUGUCCAUGUUACAUAGAUCAGCAUAAACCUCCUAUUUUUUUUGUUUUUGCAAUUUUGGGCAACUUUUCUGUUUUAGCAACUUCGCCACUUUAAACCAUAAUGGAUCAGAAUAUGCUCGUACAUGAUACAAGAAUCAUAAUUGUCUCAAACACAGUUAAUGGUACCACUCUUCCAUUGUACUCUUCUAGCUCCACUUCUACCACCUUCUACCACAGCCAUUAGCAUAGUAGCUUCUGCAGUCUUGAAAUUUUCACUACAAAGAGACAAAAGUGAUGGUGAUGCAUGAAGCAGGAAAAUUGAUGGUAGUGAAAAUGCAGCAAAUGAUGAUAAUGUCUUAAGAAGCAGAUGUGGUAAUAGUGAUGUGAAGGUACAUUUCAUAUAUGUGGACAUGGGAGGUAAUAUAGUAUGACCCUCAACUCCAAGACUUGGACACUCUGGAAAUAUUAAGACAAGACAUUGUGGGCAUACAGCCAUGUAUACAAAUGAUUAAUAUUCUUUUAUUUUCAAAAUGCAUUGUGAUUUUUAUAUAUUGUCAUCUUCGUGGUCAGACCCUACAGGCCCUCACUGUGUUCAUACUUCAUGGUGACAGUGGUGGGGGUCCUAGUAGCUGAUUGAUAAUUUUGUUGAAGUGUAGAGAAGGGGAAGAUAGACAUGCGAGAAAACUCGAAUCUGCUUAGGUCUACCUCUUGAGUGUACAUUCGUGAUGUGGUCUGUAAUCCCUUUGUUAUGGCAUCAUCCAAUGUCGACCUAUGAAUCUCGAAGAAAACAAAUAAUGCUAUAACAGGCUGCAUUGAUCAGCUUGUUGCUGGGCCCUGCACAUACUUGAAGUUCUCGAUCAUAUCCUAUUUAGGCGCGCCUUAAGCGCGAGCCUCAGCUCCUAGGAGCGAGGGGUGGGUCUCAGCGUCUUAGGGAGUGAAGCGCGCGCCUCAAAUGCGCCUUGUGAUAUUUACGUUUAAUGUGUCUAGGGUUUGGGUUUUGGGGUUUUGGGAUUUUUCAAUAUAUUUUAAAAUGUUAAGGAAUUGAAAAAAUAAUUCUUAAUUUGAACGCUUUUCUUCCCUUUUUCUCUUGGUCAUUCUCUCUUCCACCCCCUAAUGGCAAUAAGCAGCAGCGGUAAGAAGCAAGAAGCAAGAAACAAGAAGCAAGAACUAGCAGCAAGCACUUUUAAGUUGAAAGUUGAAAUAUAAUUUUUUUCUUUUUAGUUUGAGAAUAUUUAUACAUAUGAUUUCAUUACUUUUUUAUGAUUAUUUUCUUUUUAUGGCUAUUUUAAAUUUUUUUAACGUAAAACAUCCAUUUAAAUUAGCCUUGUUAAGAGUGUUUUGUUUUUAUUAGAUGCGCGUCUCGCCUUCUUGAGGCGCGCGCCUCGUGGUGCGCCUUGCAUCUGGGCUCCAGAAGGCUUUUGCGCCUUUUUGCGUCUUGCGCCUUUUCAAACACUCUGAAUCCCUGAUAAGAUCAAGAACAGAAAUAUGCGAAGCUUGAGGCUCAUCGGCUUUUCUCAUCUAGUAGCGGUCUCAUCUUUGCUACUUCAAGCAUGUGAUGCUCUAACUAUGUCUCAACAUCUCAAUUUUUUGCAAGUUAAUCAAGACUCGAUCGUCUAGUAUCUCUUUCAAUGCAUCCUGUGCUAAGAAGCUUGGCUUUGCACAGGCGGCUUUUGUUCUUCUUAAGGGCAUACUUGUGAUAAAAUGUUGACCGUGUCAAAUAUAACCUGACAAACAUAUUAGACUCUAGAGGUGGCUCACCGCUUGAUGUACUUGAAUUCUACCACAACUACGGAUGCGAGUACUCUCAUGGCUAUGGAUCCUGCUACCCUGUAGUUAGCAUUUAUCAACCAAUGGGUGCUUCCCUUUUUGAGGGAGAAUGUUAUACAUAUAAUUCCUCUAUAACCAUAGAUUAUGCUCUUAAUAGUUAUAAUUGCUGCGGAAAAAAGCCUUGAACCUGCAAUACACUUUGGUACCUUAUCUAUUGUAGUACUCUUUGGAACCUUAUCUAUUGUAGUUAUUUGUUGUCUGAUUAUUUGGUUGAUCAAUUUCUGCAGAAAUUGAACCCUCUCCGCUGCCCUGUCUGGUAUCUGAAGUCACGAAUGCUGUUUGUGGAGCUGAUUUUACUGUAUGGUUGUCUUCAGUGGAAGGCUCCUCCAUACUGUAGGUUCCUCACGAAAAUUUGUUCUUCAGUAAUUGAAAUCUUUGCCCUACUUAACAUCUCUUUAUUUGCUUAACAGUAUUGAAUUGGUUCUAAUAAUCACUUCUCUUAGUCUUAACAUUUUUUGUUCAAUGUUAUGCAGGACAGCAGGUCUUCCGCAGUAUGGACAACUUGGACAUGGAACUGACAAUGAGGUCCCGAAAACUAGCUUUUCUUUUAACCUUCUUUUUCCUCAAUACUUGCAAUGUAUUAUGAUUUUUUUUUCUUUUAAACUUUUCCUUGCAGUAUAAUGCUAAAGAUUCAUCUGUAAAACUAGCUUAUGAGCCUCAGCCUCGUCCACGAGCAAUUGCUACAUUUUCGGAAAAAACUGUUGUCAAAGUUGCUUGUGGAACAAACCACACAGGUUCCUUUCUUGCUUUAUCCUUGAAGUUUGUUUACCUUAUCAUGCAUCCUUGUUCAAAGCUAAUAUCAUUCUUUUGUUUCUUUUCAUUGUCUGACCCAUGUGUUCAGUUGCUGUUGAUUCAAAUGGUUUUGUUUACACGUAAGCGUCUACCAUCUAGUCAGUUUCUUGUAAAUCAAUUAUAUAUUUUAUCAUACUUGUUGGCCUCUCCAGAUAAUAUUAUUUCUUCCUACAAGUAUGACUUGUCUAUAUAGCAAUUAUUUUGGGUCCUAUUAUUACAACAUUUGACUGUGCUUACUUGCUCUCUCUGUUCGCUUUUGUGCAGAUGGGGUUUUGGUGGAUAUGGAAGGUAAGGACACUCGAUAAGCAUAGAUUGAUCUUUAUGGGUAUAUUGUCAUUUAGAUCUGGUAACUAAAUGGCACGAAAAGUUGGAAUAAGUAUAGAUGAUUAGUUCUUCCAUUGACCCUCAUAUUUCAGUAAUUUUUCUGCUUCUCACAGUGCUUACAACUAUUCUGUUGAUAUAUAGGCUGGGUCACAGAGAACAGAAGGAUGAGUGGGUCCCUCGGCUUGUUGAAGUCUUCCAAAGGCAUAAUGUUCUUCCUCCUAAUGCUGUAGUUUCUGCAGGUGCCACAAAUUCUGCAUGCACUGGUGGUAUGCUUUUUGUCCCCUUCCAUGAUCUAAUAGUAAAUAUAUUUUCUCUUCUUGCAAUUAUAGAAUUACCUUUCUGUUGGACUAGAGGUAAUUACUAACAAAAACCAGCUUACUUUCCAUGUUAUCUGCGUCAUGUUCGAUGCGUCUCAUUCAACCUUUGACAAAGAGUACAAGAAUCUCUAUAGUUGAUCCGGUGGAGGCAGUUUAAUUUUCAACCUAUUGGAUUACAUCUUUAGAUAUUUUCUAAAUUUAGAAGCUUUAGGAUGAUUCCUAAGCCUCAAUCUGGUUGAGGACUCCAAAUCUAGAAUUUCAGAUUUUUUUUCCACAGGAACUGUAGUCUCUGAGCUUGUUUUGGGAGAAAAAUUGGUAGCAGCUUUUGUCGGCCUGUUUUGGGAGAAAACAUGGUAGCAGCAGCUCCUUAGCAGCAUGUCGCCUUCUUCUUCUUUUUCUUUCCUUAAUUAGAUGUGUAGCCUGCCUAAUUGAGGCAGUUUAUAGGGGACCCAGUGCAAGUGCAUGAGGGACGUAGGACUGGACUUGUAUUAUUGUUCUGCUAGUCCUUUUAUUGUGAAUAAGAUAUGACUGACAACAUUCCUACUUUACCAGGUCAUAAGAAAAUGAGCAAAACCGAUUUAUGAUCUAUUGUUUCAUUGUUGAGGUAACUUCUGAAUUUGGUUUCCAGGAGGAGGACAGUUGUAUAUGUGGGGGAAAUUGAAGACAACUGGUGACGAUUGGAUGUAUCCUAAGCCACUUAUGGAUUUAAGGUUCUUCUCUGAAUAUUCUUUUCUUCAGAAUGUAUUAAACAAAUUAAUUAAAUCGAAAAGAUCAGUCUUUUAUUUUCACUAAAUUAAUCAAAUUAAAUCGAGCAUUCUGAAUUGGGUAACUUAAUUUUCAAAAUCAUGAAAUUCAACCGCAAGUGUUGCUUCAUUAAAUUCAAUUGUUCUAGAGAUAAUCUGAAGUUCAACAUGCAAAAGCAAGCAAAAGCCUUGGGACUUACUGCAAUAUUAUUUUGGUGUUUUGUAACUUCUGGCUACUCGUGUGUUUUUUUUCCUACUAUAUAAAUGGGAGUUGGAACAAUUGUGUAUUUUAGGUUGCUGUGACCAAAUGAAAUUGAUAUGAUGAUUAGGACAUGCAACUAUGUUUCGUUUAGUCUCUAGAGUUGUUUGACAGUCUCUUUUCUUCUGGUUUACUUAAGCUUUUAUUGCUCAUCUGCUUCUUUCUUUGCUGCUUAUCUGCUAGUGAUUUUUGGAGUUCUGACAAUAUGCUUUCAGUGGUUGGAACAUACGUUGCAUGGCUUCUGGUAACAUGCACCAUGUUGUUGGUGCCGACGACUCGUGCAUAAGUUGGGGGCAUGCCCUGUAUGGGGAGCUUGGAUAUGGUCCCCUCGGACAGAAGUAUGUGCAUUGAUAUCCUUGAUGAAUUAUGGAAAAUAUUUUAGUUGAUUAACUAUUGUUUUCUGAGUUCCUAUGUAAUUGUGAUUACAGGUCAUCUGCAAAUCCAAAGAAAGUUGAUAUUCUAGAUGGUAUGAACGUCACAAGGUAACUAUGCUGUAUUGUGGUCUUCUGUUAGAAAUGUUAAUUUUAGGAUGUAUGUUUCUUUCUAAUUAGAAAUACUUUUGCAGCGUGGGAUGUGGGUAUGGAUUUUCUCUGAUUGUUGUUGACAGAACAAAUGCUGGUGAUCGAUUGGAACAGGUGACUGAGAAAUUUCUCUACUUUAUUCUAUUCUAAAUUUCUAAUUGCAUUUUUUUUUUGGUUCAACCAGAAAUCGAUAUUUAUAGAACUUAAAAAAGAAUACUCUGGUACUUGUAUUGUAAAAGCCUAGACACCUGAAGUCUUGUUUGGUAAUGUGGUGGCUAAAAGCACCAUAUUUAUAGCCUGGAAGGCCCAAAAAAGAAAAACCUAAAAGCACUUUCAAUCUUUCCUUCUCUCAUUUUAUAAUAUUGUGGUUACAACCACCACUCGAGAAGCAUGUUGCUAAAGGCUUUGCUUUUCUAGUGGUGAUUGCAAUUGCAAUUUUAUAAUUUUGGAGGGGAAAGAUCGUAAGCACUUUCGAAAAUUUUAGUCUUUCUGUGGUGUAAAAAUACUGCUUUUAGCCACUACAUUACCAAACUAGAGCCGAAAGAAUUUAUGAGCUUGAGGUUUGUAUAUUUAGCUCCACUGAUACUGUUUUGUUGUUUCUUUUUAUCAUUUUCGGUUUAUAUCUGAAAUCAAUUUAUAUUUGUAGAUUAGGUCUAAACCUAUUUAUGGAAUAAACAUUCCAAGUCAAUUUGUAGAGGAAUAGCAAUUUUUAAUUUUUGUGCUCUUGAAUCUUUGGUGAGGGUAUGUAACAUUUUUUUUGCCCCCUAAAUUUUAAAUCGAACUCUUGUUGAAUAGCAAAGAACAUUUUGUCAAUUAAAUAUUUUUGUAGUGUCUAUUACAAAGAUUCGGCUCUCUUCGGAACAAGGCUAAUAACUACUUUUUCUUGUCUGCCUAUUCGUGUUUCUCCAUCUUGGGUGUCAUAGAAAGAUAAAAAUGGCCUGCUGCUUCAAUUAUACCCUUCCCUGAAAAGUGCAAGGAUAGAGAUUUUGUUGUAUGUAUUGUUUGAAUUUGGACAUCUCAAAUUGUUAUUGUCUUUUAUUCUUACGGACAUUUUUCAAAUUUGUAGUUCUUUUUCUGUCUAUAUACUUAUUUAAUAAUAGAUUUUUAGACUGGAAAACAUCACAAAUAGUUUGCCAAAGUAGUGGCAUGUUUUGGCUCACUUUUGUUAUAAGAUACUUCGGCGCGCAAAAAUCCAUUUAUCGUAACCUUUUAACUUUUCGCUCUAUUUACAGCUGGAGAUUUAUGAUGGUGACCCUUCCUCUGAAGGUACAAUUAUCGCACCAUUUCUUUUUGCUCUAUUUUGUAAAAAAUUGCCAUGUUUUGCAUGAUAAUAAUAAUUUAUUCCUGCGUCAAGAAAUUUAUGAAUCUGUAUUCUUUUCUCCCAUCCUACUCCCCUUCCCAUUUUUUUGUAAAUUGACUGUAAUACUCAUCGCUGUAAGCCCAGUUUGCUGGGAGCUAAAGAUUGGAGAAAUAUAGCCGUAAGCUUUUACAGAUACUCAGAUAUUCAAUUUUCUGCUUGUUGGUGUAGAACUAGUACUCUUUGUUUCUCCAAGAUGGGGAUAGAUUUCAUCAGCCAUUUUGAUCAUUUUCUAUACAUAAAGAAUAAUCACCCACUCCGGCACACUUCGCAAUUUUGCAAGCAGUUAGUGAAGUAUUUAUGAGUUAUUGUAGAGCCCAAAUGCACUUACAAUUGUACGAUGUUAUUGAUUACGGUAAUGUUGUAAUCUAGCUAUGAUAUGCUCAGUUUGAUGUCACUUCAAAAUGUUAAUUAAGAUACUGUAUGUUUAUUAACAAACUAGCGUCUUAAUUUCUGAUUACAUACCGUAGUUGACUUCCAUCUUCCAAAACUGAGUUCCACUCAAAUGUUAAAUUUGCUUCAGGAGUAGAGAAGAGCAAUAAUGCAAAUGCUGCAGCUACGAAGAACACGCCAACUACUGCUAAAUCUUCUGCGAGAAAUUCCAAGAGAAGGAAGAAGGAUUUGUCAGAGUCAGAAGAAGAGGAAGAGGAAGAAAUGGAUGACGAUGACGACGCUGAUGAGGACGACGAUGAUGGCGAUGAGGACGAUGAUGAGGAUGCGAAUGGAGAUGCAAAGCGCGGGCGCAAGCCAUCUAGCAGGGGACGAGGCGGUGGCGGCGGUAAAAGAGGGAGAGGCCGACCUAAAGCUGCUGAAAGAAGCGCUAACGAGAAACCAGCAAGCUCUGGGCGAGGCCGCGGGCGAGGAAGAUCGGGGAAGAGGGGGAGGCCUGGUAGGCGAUGAUGAUUAACUAUUUAACACCUCAUGUUUUGACAAGAGAAAGGCUGAAUGGGCAUCCGGGAAAAGUUUUAAUCUCUGAUUUCUAAUUAUUAUUUAAGCGUUGUUUCUGACAUAGAGGAUUUUGGUAACAAUUGGGGGAUUUCUUUAUGUAAUUCUGAAGGAAGGUUCUGAAGUUCAUGGUUGUAUGUUGUAAAAUGUUCUUAUUAUUCUGUGUUACAUUUAUUUAGGGUGCCAUUUCGGCAAAAUGCUUGUUUUCGUUCUUUUUCUGAAAAUUGCCAUUUACUUGGUAAAAUAUUCAAUGAGAGAGGUACAUUCUCAAGUUUGGUGGCUUUACAUGUUUGAGUAAGACGAUGAGUUUCUACAUAUAAUCAUCUUUAGUUAUUACAAAUCACUAAGCUGUUUCUAGUGGUGUUAGAAUAUGAGGUGUCAUGUUUGUUAUAUUUCUCAGACAAGAGUAAAUCACUCAGCUCCAUUAAUAGUUUUUUUUUUUUUGUUUUUUUGUUUAGUGUUUGUUUUAAUGGUGGUUAGUGCUUAAAUAUGAACCAAUAAUCUAGUCUCUAAUUUAUUGGAACUAUUCAUAUAAAAAAAAAUGAAAAAAAAUUGAAAAGGUGAUGGCAAAUUAAACAAAAAAUAACAACAAUAUUUGAAGGUUACAAUUUUUACUAUUCUUGUUCUUUCUACAGUCUCGAAAAAGAAUGCACAAAGGCAUGCACAACAACACAAUACAGCAGUAUGACUAUAAAGAGAGAUUGACACCACUCAUUUUACGCAUCGAAGGCAAUUUUUUACUUAAAAUUUACUUGCAAAUAUAUAUAUUUUUAAAUAUUAUAGUAAUUGAUAUUCUUGACAAACUUAGGGCGUAUUAAUUUGGAUGGAAGUUUGGUGACAAACUCACGAGUUGUUGUAACUAGAGAUCGCAGGCGUUUGGAUGUAACCACAAUCUCCGACUUUAGUGGGGUCCACGCGGCCAGUAAGCGCGAGACCAUCUCACGAGACGGCGAGUUUGCGUACGGUACGAACUCACGACUUCACACUCAUUACAUACGAAAUCGAGUUUUGUUGUACGGAUGAAACUUGUCAUCUUCUAUAGGGCGUAGUUCUGAUACAAUAAACUGACUCUUACAUAUCACAAUAUGAAAAAAAAAGAAGAAAAGAGAAUGUGUUAAUAAUAGUAAAGUAAAUAAUUUGACAAUAUUGUGGUGGUUCUUACAUACCACAAUAUGAAAAAAAGAAGAAAAGAAUGUGUUAACAAUAAUAAAGUAAAUAAUUUUACAACACUGUGGAGACUAUCAAAAUAAAUGUUUUUGACAGCAUUAAAAUAGUGUCCCAAUGUCUUGAUCUUUUUAAAGUGGUAGAGAGAUUGAUGGUUGAUUUGGUGUGACAUUUUUGCUUUUGGCUGGUUGGAUAAUGGUGUUAGUAUAGGUAACACAAAUGUCAUUUUUAAUUUUCAAAAAUGCAUUAUCAUCAGAAGCAGAAAAUAAAAGCACAAGUUUAGAGUGUAGGAAUGUAUUUGUCAAAAAGAAGAUGAAUUUGAAACUUGCCUAUGAAAUGGGCUGAGUCUGGUUCCAGGUCAGGUUGAUUUUAAAUAGUAAUGACAUAUGACUCAAUUUGAAAGCUGAAACUGAUCCCCACAGGGUAAUGGGCAAUGGGAGGGGGGUACAAUGUUCCCCAAUCCAGCUCGCUGCUCGUGAGCCGGCUCAUGUUCGACUCGAAAUAAGUUUAAGAUCGAAUCGCUCGUUUAGUAAACGAGCCGAAUACGAACUGAAUUUUUCAGCUCGUUUAAUAAACAAGUUGAGGUCAGCUCGUUUGUGUUUGGCUCAAUAAAGCUCGAAUAUAUAUGUAUCUGUAUAUAUAUUUCUACUAUUUGGAUUUUAGGGCAACUCAAAUGUAGAGAAACCUCUAUCUUGUAAAUGUUAUAGAUUAAAAUUCUAAUUAUUUAUUUAUAGUUUUCACCUUUAUACCUAGUAAUAAGGCUGGCGAUCUAAGUUGCUGUUCGUGAGCUAGCUCGUGUUUGGCUCGAUAAUAAAUGAGCGGAACACAAGAUAGAUUUUUCAGUUCGAUUUUUCAACAAGCUAGCUCGUGUUUGGCUCAUUUAUUAAACAAGCCGAACACGAGCCGGUCCUAUCUCACUCGUGUUCGGCUCAUUGACAGCCCUAUAUACACCACUGCUUAAAUGGGCCAAAGGCCCGCCAGGCUCGGCAUGGCCUCAAAUGUGGGUUGUGUCAUGUUGGGUUGGAUUUUCUAGACCGUCGGCCCAUCACGGCUUCCUAGCUCAGAUAUCUUCGUCUAUGCUAUUAGGCAAAAUCGACUUGUGGUAAAAACAUAUAGGAAUACACCUUUCAGAUUUCUAGUGGAACUAGAGAAAUGACAACAAAAAAUAUGUUUUUGCAUUGCUUUUGUGACCUACUAUCAGAGAUCUGGCUCAAGUCCCUAACCCAACUUCUCAAAGUGGGCAACCAAAAAGGCAUCAAACCAGCAGCCUUUUGUAAGAGAUAAAAGAUUAUGCAACUGUUGCAGUCAAAGCUUGCAAAAUUAUCAAUGAAAAUCUAAAAGUUAUAGGCAACCCUUGGGUUCAAAUCUCCCCGCGAUUCCAAACUUCAUAAAUUUAGUAACAGCUAAUCCAUCAAAUAGUCAUUAAACCAUCAACUAGAAUAGCAAAAUAAUACCUUUUGCAAACUACAUGGUAGUUGUGCAGUAUAACACUAAUGAAUAUGAAAAAGUAUCACUUUAAUUACUAUCAUGUUUAAGGACAUAUUUUUAGAUAAAAUUAAAAUAAAAUAAAAUUAUAGUUAAGUGUGAUUUUUUAAACCAGAGGUGACACAAAGUGAGAGUGCGCUAAAUUAUAGAGGGGGAAAUUGAACAAAAUCAACCUCAUCUUGGUUGCGUUAACCCAAGGAGUUCGAGUCAAGUUUCGAUAUCGCAUAAUAAUCUCGUCGCUCUGAAUAGAAAAAAUGUAGGGCACCCAUGGAAAGCGGAUGCUACGCCUUAGGAUAGGGUUGAAAGUGGUUAAGAUAAACUUCGAAUGAGUUCGACACUAUAUUCGAUAGCGUGCGAAUGCGAGAGUUAAAAUUUGGCAUUCGAUGCAAUAUUUGUAUUCAAAUUCGCAUCCGAAAAAAAUAAAAAUGGAUAUGAUUUCGUAAAAAAUCUGACCAUAUUCAACCAUUUUCACUACUAUGAGAUUAGGGGUCGUUAAUAUGUAUUGUAGGGACAUAAAGUAGGUUUCUAUCAUAUAUUCAUUUCUUUUACCAUAAGUUUUAUAUUAAAAUUAUAUUUAUGUUUAUUAAAAUAUUAAAAUUUAUUGAAUAAAGUAUUGGUACAUAAAAUUUGAACAUGAGUGUAAAACUUUAGUUGUAUUGUAUUUCAUUUAUGCUCACAAAUCUGAUUCAUGUACGAAUUCAAAUCCAUUUUUAGUGGACAUGGUAAUGAAAAUUUAGCAUCUGAUACAUAUUUAUAUCAGAAUUCAUACCCGAAGAAAAACAUCGACGAAGAUAUAGUUUUAUCAAAUAUUCGACCCUAUUCGGCCAUUUUCACCCCUACUUUGGGCUCUGUUUAAUUUGUUGUAUUUUUUAAAAUUUUAGGACUCUGAAAUUCAAAAUCCACUUCCUCUCUUGACUUUUUUUUCAUAUAAGUUUUAUUUUAAUUGACUAAAAAUAAAAUAAUGUAUACUAUCAAUCUCUAUCAAUAGGGCUAUUAUGGUGGAUUUAUUAAUAUAACCUAGUUACUUCCUUUCUUGAACCAAACACCAUAAUGAUAUUGCCUUAGGUAUUCCAAGAUAUGAAUUUUUUUUUAAAAAGUGAUAUAAUAGUGAAAUUCAAUUUUAGGAUAAUAAUUUGAAAAAAAUAACUCUUUGUAAAAAUUUAAAAUUCUGCGAACCAAAUAGGCUCUUAAUGAAAUCAUAUAAGUGUGCGCAAAGAGAAUUGAUAUUCCCAAAGCUUGUUUUGUUAUUGGUAGAGCGCAAAAGAUCAAAUUCAAGUUAAAUACAACGUAUAUAUCUUUCAAGAUAAUAAUAAAAAUAGCACCGUUGUACCGAUGUUUAUUUGCAAAUGACUUAUAGGCUUUUGAGUGAUCCGGAUUAUCUAUUUAUUCUUGGUGAGAAGUCCCUAAUUUCUUCGUAAAACACUCUGUUUUUUGCAGAUCACAAAUCACUUUCUUAUCCUUUCGCAUGGAUAUAAAAAAGUGCUCUUUCAAAAUAAGAUAAGUGCUUCUCCCCUUUUAUGGGCUCCAUUUAGAGACUAAACCUGAUGAUUCAAGCAAGCUAAUUGUGGACAAUAAAUUUACUUGUUAAAAUAUAGAACUUUGAUAGAUCAAGAUCAACAAACUACUAUCCCAAAUUAGAUACAAGUUUUUGUUGAUGUUGCAUGGGUUAGGGGCUUUUGGGCCCAGCAGAAGCUGUUUCUUCCAUUACAUAACUUUGAGGUUGAAAGGGGCUCUUUACUGAAAGCCCUUGAUGGUUUCUCUUUGAAGUUGGAAGUAAGUUGGCUUUUUUCUUUCUUACUUUCUGUCUUUCUUUCUUUUUUUCUUGAGAGAGAAAGUCAGCAUACAACCCGCUUUGUUUAUUUCUUUUAGAAAUAAACUUAGCUAAAAAUAUAAAGUAACUAGGCUUCGAACUUAGGACCUCGGAUACCAACACCACCAAGCAUUUUGCCACUUGCACUAGGGAUGGCCAGUGUGAGUUGGGUUCUUAAUCUGUAUUUUAGUGGAUAUGAAUUUAAAUACUUUUUUUUUUUUUGAGAGAGAGAUAGGUAGCACGUUAUCCGCUUCGUUUAUUUCAUUAGAAAUAAACUUACCUGGAAAUGUGAAUCAACUAGGAUUCGAACUUGGGUCUCGGGUACCAACCACCAAGUCUUUUGCCGCUUGCUCUAGGGACGGUCGGUAUGAAUUUAAAUACUUAUUUAAAUAUGCUUAGGGAUUGUUUGGUUUAUCUAUUUUAGACUGUAAAGUCAGUAUAGGAUUCAUUAAUUUCAAUAAUUAUUAUUUAUUUAUAGUAAUCGAAUUUUGACCCAUUCCAUCUUGGAAUGGGAAUGGGGCAAAAUCCGGUUUUAAAUUUCGAAUUGGUCCAUUCCAAAGUAAUCCACUUAAAACCCUCUCUCACGAACACUUCUCUCUCCUCUUCAUUCAUCACUCAUUCACUCUCUUUGUUAAUCAAAACUCUCUCUCAAAAUCUUAGAUGCUCUUUCCGAUUUACAUUCCAAUAAUGAAUCAUAUAUUUUUAGAUAAUUCGGUGUUCCAUUUUCCGUUCCAAUGAAAUUCAGUUUCAUUUUUCAUUCAUAUUCUAAUCAUGAACCAAACGUAUCCUAAAUGUAAUUGUUCUCUAUGUACUCUUUCGUAAUGUUCUAGUCUCAUUUUUCAAUUUGGCAUUAGUUUUAAACGAAUCUAUGCACAUAAAGAUACAAGAACAAAACUUAUUUUAACAUGCCUACAUCUUUUUUGAUUGGAAAAGAAUCUCUUAGCCCUUAUUUUUUUUGUCAAAAAUAACUCUAAUGUAGUGUGCACAUGACAUUGUUUUUUUGGGCCCAAUUUGAUACAUUAAUAAAAGUUAGGGAUCAUUAAUUAUUUCAAAAAAAAACCCUUCCUUUUGUUCUUAAGAGUUCUAGCUUCUUUCAAAUAAAUCUAUAGGAUUAAGUUUUGUUAGUCUAAUGUUAAAAUAAACCAUAAUCUCUACAAAAAGACUCAUUGGCCUUUUCUAAUUAAUGUGCCCUUCGAAAAGUUUAAACGAUGAAAUUUACCUUUCUAAAGUUUCAUUUUUUUCCCCUUCAAACUUAUUCUCCAUUUUAACCCGAGAUUAGAUUGAGUAUAAAGUUAAUCAAAAGAAAACCAGAGAUUAGCCGAUCGAAUGGUAUAUAUAACGAGCGAAAAACCAAUAGAGGGGUAGAUCUUAUAAUUCAAACUUUUUUAAAAGCAAAUAUGAAAGGCGAGUAGCUCCCAGUAUCCUAAAAGUUCUUCGAGAGCAUAUCUUUUCUUUUUUCUUUUUCUUUUUUUUUUUAACUUAAGAAUUAGAAAGCUCGAUUGUCUUAAUUUCAUUUUAUAAUGCAUGCAGGGGGUCAAAUUUUUGGCAUCUUAAUGGACAAGUCAGGCAACAACCACUAGACUAGCUCAGUGGUGGUUGAUCACAUUUUCCAAAAUAAGAAAAUCCAACUUAUCAUAAUAAUAAUAUAAUUCCUCAUUAAUGCCAAAUCAUUGUUUAGAUGUACCAAAUAAAAUUUCCCAUUAAUGCCAAAUCUUUGUUUAAGAGAAAAGUACAAGGAACAUUUUCCAACUCAACCCAUGUCAAAAAGAAAAAGCAAAAAAAGAAAAUAUAGAAUGAGACAUGACACAUGAUCUUAUGUUCUCUCAUGGACCAAUCUCUCUCUCCUUUUCUCUCUCUCUUUUUCUCUUAACAGUCGCACCAUACUAUUUAUAAUCAACCAAUCAUAUCUCUUUAUUUUAGAGAAAAGUACAAUAAAAAUAUUUUUUCUAAUAACUAUGAUGGGACGAAUGAACUCAAUAACAAUAAUCUGAUUAAUCGGUGACACCACAUCAGCAAUAUAACUGAUGUAUUCUAGAUCUCUUUCUUUCUCUCUUCUUUCACAAGCAACAUGGAGUAAGCUGUCACUGCCUCCCAACUCUCUGACAAGGACUUUCUCCUAAAACCAUGACUAAUAUAAUUAGCACACUAAUUGAUUCCAAAUACAUCAAUAAUUGGGCCUUUUUUAAAAGCUAUAAUCACUAAACAUGUCCCUUCCUGUCUAAUUAGUACUUAAUACAAUAAUUAAUGUACCAAAGUGACAAAAAAACCAUGUUUUUGAAACUGACACUUCCUUCAGUGUGAAGCCAACACAUUCAUUAUAUAUCCAUCAUCAUCAUUAUCACAACUCAUGGGAUCAUCUAAAGUGACUCUUUCUAGUCACCUGCCAAAUAAAUAAUGUUUUGGGCACACACCCAAAAAAAAAAAAAAAAAAAAAAAAAAAAACACCACAAAAUAAUAUUUGCUGUAGGAUGUAGUGUUAUUCGAUAAUAUAAUGUCGAUAUAAGAUUUUUGGAAAAUAUUUUAUGUUGAGGUCUGCUCUAAAAUAUUUUGUUGUAGCAACAAAAAGGGAAGCUUCGGAUUAAAAUUUUUAUUUUUAGAGCUGGAAAUUAUUGUUUUUUUUUUUUGUUAAAUAACAUUACAGCAGAACAACCACAGCUAAAAUGAAAAUUAAUUCAGAAAUAGUCAAUCACGUACGUAAUCAGACAUUGAAUGUUGUCAUAAAAAAUGUUGAUUUUUUUUUUUUUUUUUUUUUUUUUUUUUUUUUUUUUUGCAUCGAAACUUUCUUAUCAACUAUUUUGUGAUAUAUUAUAAGAAAUGCACCGUAGUUGCUCUCGGCAAAUAAUCUUUCUAUGCAUGUGGGAAAAGUUGGUUAGUCUGCCACUAGAGUCCGAAUGCUUCGUUGCUGCCGGACCCCUCAACUGUCAGGCUUAUCUGCUACUUCUUUUUUUUUUUUCCUUUUUUUUUUUUUUAUUUCUCUCUCUCUUUUUAAGGACAAUUUUAUGGAUGAGUUUUUAUUUUAUUUUAUUUUAUUUUUUUCAGAGAUAGGUAGCACGCUACCCGCUUCGUUUAUUUCAUUUUAGAAAUAAACUUAGCUAAAAAUAUGAAUCAAUUAGGAUUCGAACUUGGGUCUCGGGUAUCAACCACCAAGCCUUUUGCCACUUGCUCUAGAAACGAUCGAUAGAAGCUUUAAUUUUUUUUGUAGUUUAGGGCGGGCGGUGAAAGUGGUUCGGACAAACCCUAACGGGAAUGUGAAUGUGAAUAUCAAAAUUUAACAUUCCAUAUAUAUUCGUAUUUAAAUUCUUAUUCGAGAAAAAUAAAAUAAUAUGGAUGCAAAUAUUGUUUCUAAGAAAAACUGGCCAUAUCUAACCGUUUUCAUCCCUUAGAAAUAAAAGAGAUGUAAAUAUAUGUUGUAGGGAGAUAAAGAGGUUUUCUAUCGUGUUUUUUGUUUAUUUUAGUAUAAAUUUUUCAUGUUAAAAUUAUAUUUAUAUUUGUUAAAAUAUUAAAGUUUAUUGAAUAAAAUAUAUGUGUAUGAAUUUUGAACAUACGUGUGAACCUUUAAUUGCAUUAUACAUCUUAUUUUCCUAAAGUUUAAUUCGUAUUUAUAUGUGAACUAAAUUAGUAUAUGUUAUUAUCUGAAUAAUAUUGGAAUACAAAUUCUACUCUUAUCUAAAUUUGAAUUUGUUUUUAGCGGAUAUCCUGACACAUUUCCGCAUUCGAAUUCGCAUAGAAAAAAAAUAAAUGUGAAUAUAAUUUUGUCAAAAAUCUGAAGGUAUUCGACCGUUUUCACCUCUAGUUUACGGUCUAUUUAGUACUAAGGUUCUUAUAAAUAGAUCAAGUUAAGACAAAAGUAUACAAGAAUCUGCUCUUAAUAUUUUGGUAGGAUCAUAAACAAGAUAUCGCAAACGACUCAUUAUGAUAUGCACAACGUAAUAUUAUGUAUAUAUAUAUUCAUUGUAUUUUCUCAUUGCACGUAAUGUAUUUUGUCCAAAAUCUCACACGAAGCUUAGAGUGUUACAGGUCUUUUAUAAUGUCGCCUUUACAUAUUGCUGACGCGUCGCUAGAUUUAUGUGGCACUUUAGAAUGCGUGCAUAAAUUAAUUAAAAAUCUUCACAUCAUAGGUGUCAACAUUUCAACAGCAUAUAAAGAUAAUAUAAUAAUAAAGCCAAAAUAUUUUCUUUUUAUUUAUCCAUGCUCCUCUGAAGUUCAAAAUAUCACUAAUACUUUAAUUAAUAAACAAUAAAAGUAAUUAAAAAUACCUCUCUUGGUUGCCAGUUUUUUUGUAAAAAAAAAAUUUGACGGAGCAGUUACCAUCUUUGCAGUAGUAAACUAAAACUGAGGAAUUAGAUUUUUUUUUUUUUUUUUUUUCAAAAAGAAGAACUGAAAAAACAAAAAUAAAUAGACCACACAUUUAAGAAGAGGUUGAAAAAUUAAUGACAAAAACUAAAAAUUAACACAAUAUUCAUUAAAUAAUAAACUAAAAAACGAUGUGGAUCAGCACUAUGUUUUAUCCUAUUAUAAGGCUGUAAAGCAAAUAGGAUAGGAGAAGUGUGAUUAUUUGCAUAUUUAUAAAAUUCAUAUAUAUAUAUAUAUAUAUAUAUAUAUAUAUGAAAUUUAAAAUAUUGUGAGAUAUUUACCUUUUUUUCUUAUUUCUUUUAAUAUAAGUAACAGUACCUCAUUACAUUUCUUUCAUGUAUAAUAGCUUAACAUAGUUACUAAAGGACAAAUAUUGAAAGGACCAAAUAGAGUGUAUAAUAAAUAUGCACCAAAAUGAUUGAUUCAAUUGAAUGGCUUGUGGUGCCACAUCACUUUGUGAUUUGUGUGGAUCUUUUGAGGAGAUACUCUUUUGUCUUGUUUCAAGCAAAGGUUGAGAAGCUUCUACAUUAGAAGUUUGUUCAAUCUUUGUAUUCAUAACUGAUUUUUAGAGUUAGAGUGGAAGGCUCUGAAACAAAAAAAUAAUUACAGUGAAAAAAAAUGUGAGCCUUUAUAUAUGUAUUAUAUUCUGUGUGAAAACGAAACCAAAAUCAGAACAAGCGUAUAUUAAGUCCAAAAAAUAUUAAUAAGUAGACGAACAAAUCUAGUACUGAAAACUAUCUCAAUAUUAACUCGAAAUUUAAAGAUAAAACGUAAUAAACCAUUCACUGAGAAAUUAUUGACAUUAUAACUAAGUACAGACUGCAUCUUUAUAGGGUUAGUUCGGCAAGACUGCAAUGGAAAUCACUCCACCUUAAUCGCUAUCAUGAGAUGUCAUCCUAAGUGAUUCAGGCUUCGUUUGGGAUUGCGGGGAGAUUGCCUUACGUGCAGUGAGAAAGUACGUUCGAAAAAUACUCUAUUUGUUUCCAUACGUAAUAUUGCGUUCCGCAUAUCGCAAUGAGUCGGUUACGAUAUAUUUUCUGCGGUCCCACCGGAGAACGUAGAAGCAUAUCCCUAUAUAUUUUUUCCUCAACUCCAUUUUAUCUAAUAGCGUUAGUUAGACCUCAAAACCAAACUAAGCCUCAGUACCAAUGCAGCGGUCGCUCGAACAAAUGCAAAAUAGAUUUUAUAGUAAGCAAAGUCAACUUCGCUCUACUCAGCAAACGUUUCGUUAGAGCAUUGCUUUGUACAAAACUGCUUUCAAACGCAUUGAAAUUGCAGUCAGAUAGGCUUGCGGCAGCAAAGCAAAUUUUCAGGCCCCCUCUACUCAUGAGGUUAUCAUGAGUUUGAGUUUUCAUCAAUAUUUACCUAUCUUACUAUGUUGCCCAAACUUUCCAGCGAGUCACCUUUCUUAGGAUUACUCAAGUCUUAGCACGCUUAACUCUUUUAACCUUUUGGACCUAACCACCGUCCAAAAUGUUAUAACAGGGUUAAGACAUUUAGUUCUAUUACAUCUUAUAUAUAAGACUAUUUCAAAUUUUGAUGUCUCACAUUCUCUUUCUCCUGGCUUAGCCGAGACUUAUCUUACACUUUCGGAUGGUAAUUGACUUUGAUACCAAGUGUGAUGCCCAAAUUUUUCAAGGAGUACGUCAUCCAUUCUAAGACUACUCUAGUCCUAACACGUUUAAUUCUUUUAACUUUUUGGGCCUAAUCAUGGUCUAAAAUACUAUAGCCGAAUUAAGAGAUUUAGUUAUAUUAUAUCUUAUAUGCAGAGUCAUUUCAAAUUCUGGGACCUCACACUUAUUGCCUCUCCUAUAUAUGUGAACAAAUCGUAUGAAUUACAUGAUCUCUAGAGGGAAUACAUGAAUAAGAGUGUUAAGAGUAUGUUUAAACUAUUUUAGAUUUAAUUGAUUUGUUGAGGGAGGGGGGAGAAUCAAAUCAAUAUUUCUAAUAAAUGUCAUUGUCUUCCAUUAUUGGAAGGCAUUGAGUUGGUGUUGACCAAUUGAGCUACAGAUGGUACAAGUGCACAUGUUCUCUUGCCCAAGCCAUGGAAAAGAAUAGUCCUCUCCAUGAAAUGGGUAUGGCUCUUGUGUCCCUAUCCAUAGUAAAAAAAAAAAAAAAAAGAAGAAAAAUAAUAAAUUAUAAAAAAUUUUCUUAUAAAUAUUUAUUUAUUUAUUUAAAUUUUAAAAAUUCAUAUUUUAUUUUGUUAAUAUUUUAAAUUAUUAUAUUUAACCUCCCUUCCGUUAGGAUUUCAUUACUAAUCCAUUCAUUUUUUAUAAUCUAUAUUGAAAAUAUCAUUCGAAAUGACAUAAAUAUAUUAAAAAUUUACCUUUUUCUUAUAGAUAAGUAAGAGCAAUUUGGUCAUUUUGCAUUCUUAAUUAACGUUGUAUCCCUGAAAAUAUUUUUGAAAUUUCUAAAAGUCAGGAAGAGAUAGUAAAAAAGUGGAUAUUUACAGGAAGAUUUUCUGUAAUUUAGCCAAAAAAAAAAGGAAAAAAGUGAAUAGAUCUAUGACCCUUUUGGUAUGAUUGCAUUUUUUUUUUUUUUUAACUUGUGAACACAAAUUAUACAUAUUAGAAUAUGUUGGCUAUGUAUCUUUUCUUUUAUUGUCAUGUAUGGUUGGUUAAGUUUAAAAUUCAUCCCAAUCAGUAAAGAAAUAACAACUUAACAAACAAAAAUAGAAAAACAAAAAAAAAAAGUUGCUACAAAAUAUUUUGUUUAAUAUUACCAAGUCAAUAGUUUGGAUAUAAGUAUUAUUGUAAACAAUUCUAUGUUCAAAUUUAUGUUCUUUCACAAGAGAAUAUAUGAGAGAAGGCUCAAAACAUCAAUUAACACAUAUGCCAUUAGAGAAGGUGUGAUUUCUAAAAAAAUUAAUAUGAUUUCACUUUUAUCCCUAUGGUUUCAUUUUAAUUUCGCAAAUUUGAGUUUGAUUUCAUUUUUAGCCCUAAGUUUAACCUUAUUCUUUGUAGUUCCACCUCAGAGCUCUAGUUUAAUGAAUGACUAUAGGAAGGGCUCAAUUUCUACUGCCCAAAAUUUAAAAGUAAAAUCAAAAGAUUAAAAUCAUAAUGAUUAAAUUGAAAUCAGAAUCAAAUAAAGUUCUUGGACAAAUCCGUAACUAAUCCAUAAAUGUCGUUUUAGAGGUUUAGAUGUCGCCACUAAAAAACCAUAAACAAAAAGCGGCUUUUGUGGAUUAAUUGUAGACGCGUUGGAAUCUUAAUGUGUCACGCGCAGAUUGUCUUGUAUAACAUAGUAUAACAUAUAUCGGCAAUAAAAGAGGUCCAAAUUAAGGCCUCAACAGGAUGAGAAUGGUAGAAAACUUAUACUUGAUGCUAACAUUUCAUAGAUCUAACCACAUUUAAUCAGUGAAUAGUGGCGAAAAUAAAUGCAUAUGUAUAUAUACAUAUAUAGAGCAGAGCUACUGUGCUAUUAAGAGCAAAAUAGCUCUUGUGCUUUUAGGUUCAUAACCAUUCAUUAAUUUAAUUUUAUGGGUAAUUAGGGUGAGAGAGAAGAGAAGAGAAAUUGAAAGAGAAAUGAAAUAUUAAUCUUAACUAUUCAUCAAAAUUGAUAGAUGGUUAUGAACUAAGGGGCACAAAGGCUACUGUGGUCCUCAUAGUACAGUAGCCCUACUCUCUCUCUCUCUCUCUCUCUCUCUCUCUCUAUAUAUAUAUAUAUAUAUAUGUGUGUGUGUGUGUGUGUGUGUGUGUGUGUGUGUGAGUAGAGCUAUUAUACUUUCGGAAGCAUAAGAAAGUUAAUACUUCUAAACUUUAGCUCUUGAAUAAACCUUUUUGACCAUUUCUGACAUUUGGAUUAAUAUUAUUACCCUAAAAGGACCACUUAACCCUAAAAGGACCGCUCAACCAACACCAAGGGGAACCACUAUCAUCCGACCCUACAAUCCUUAAUCCAAAACCAAACAGUCGAAAGCACCAACUCUCUUAUGCUUUCAAAAGUAUAGUAACUCUACACUAU
rnacentral:lncRNA from 1 species